UCUCACCCGCGGGUUUAUUUCAGCCUCUUUAACCGGUUUAAGUCCGUUUUUAGCGCCGUUCGUCGGACUCUUUUAUCCGGGUUGUUUACCGGAGUGAUCCGCGGAUCGGCGGAGUUUAUCCGGCCAACAUCCGAGAGGAUUUCUGGGGGAUUGUUUCUAUUCCUGUGUGGAAGUUGGGAGCCUGAAUCCUGGAGGAAUUAUCAGCAACUUUCUGACUGACUGACUGAGGAUGGAUCCGUGAGUACAGACUGUCAGAGUUUCUGUUUGUUUAUUUAAGGAGAGACACAGAGCCGCCGAGCUCCCGUUUUCUUCUCUGUGGGUUCAGCGUUAAUAUCGGGAUUAAUAUCGGGAUUAAUAUCGGGAUGAAUAUCGUGAGCAGAGGACUCUUGUUGAUUUGUGUUGAGCUGUGGAUGUGGGACUGGUUGAUUAAACAGAAUUUUUUAGUUUUUUUCCCCAGUUGUGGACAGACUUUAAAGGGAUAUUCCGGUGUAAAAUAAAUUUAAGGUCACCGCCAAACAUCUUUUUAACUUUGACCAAUUUCUUUAGCAAAGAGACUAAACACAACUCACCUACUCUCUUCCAGCAGCCGCUUGUUAGCGACUCCAUUGACUACAGCGGGGUGCCGCAGCUCAAGGAAGAACAUUUAUGAUUAUUAGUUUAUUCAAUAUUUUCUUUCACUUUUUAAUUGGAUGUUUAUGUCGCUGAGAUAACCACUCUUAAAGUCUGUUAAAUGUGUUCGUCUGAUUUUUAUUGAGUUGUCUGAGAUUUUUCGGAGCUCAUUAAAAUGUUUCCGCUCUUUAGUGACAUGUACUGUAUUUUUCGCACUAUAAGGUGCACCUGAUUAUAAGGCGCACCAUCAAUGAACGCGUCUAUUUUCUUACAUAAGGGGCACCGGAUUAUAAAGCGCAUUUAGCCAAACAAAACAGAUAAGUCAAACUUUAUUAAACUCAUUCAAUAACUCAGUGAGGCUACACUUAAAAAGAUUUUAAAUGCGCCUUAUAGUGCGAAAAAUAUGGUAUUUGAAAAUCAUGGUGCUGUUCUGUAGUUGACCUUUCGGGCUACCGUACACUGAACCCUUCCUUCUCACCCACUCUUCUAAGAAACAGUCAAACUUAAAGCAGAAAAGACUUGAAACCUUCGUUUCUCGAUAAUCUGUUCUAGAAGAAUGAAGGUCCCCGAUAAAGACCUUCUCCCUCUUAUUGCUUUGGAUAAAUCAGGUGAAAUUAAACCCCAAACUCCUGCAGUCGGAGUGAAAUUAAAGCAACACAGAUGAAGUUUAAUCAGGAGUGGUUAAAGAAGCUGGGGCUCACGGUCGCGGGGGGAAUGAGGGGAGGAAAAAAACAGGUGUGUUUUAAUGAGGGACUGAGGAACAGGUGCGCGGAGUCAGGUGAUAAAGGGAGGAGAGGGAGGCAUAAAUCUGGGGACGGUCGCAGAUGGAGAGGGGGUGGAAAAAAACCUAACGUCCCACAAAUGUAGAUUCAUCAACUCAAACAUAAUUAAAUACACAAAGAACUGCAAUAAAAACUCAUGUGAACAUCUUUUAUAUGUAAUUAUGAAAAAAAAAAAAACAUGAUCUCGACUUCUUGACUUUUCUGUAUGAUUAAAAAAAAAGCAUUUCAGUGAUUUCUUUCUUUGCUGGAAGCUCCGAGACUAAACUGUGUGUGCAUAUGUUUGAGACGGGAGGUUUAAAUUGGUUUAGCCACGAGGAAGAGGAGCGGGAAGAGUCUGAGUGAAUAUAUUUAAACAUAUAUAUGUGUGUGUGUGUGUGUGUGUGUGGGCCCAUUAAAAGCCUUCUUCCCGCCCUAAAGGAAGAAAUCAGUCCUGCUCUAAUUUAUGCGGUCACACACCUUUAAAAUGAAGCCACGCACACACACACACGGUGGGGGGUGUGACAUUAAGACAGUAGUGAAGAAUGCCUUCGCCCUCAUGAAUACUAACCACUCUUAAUCCGUCCCCUCAAGUAUCCGGCGGCCUGUUUGUGUGCGUCUGUAUUAUGCUAACGCCUCGAAAUGAAAUAUGGAUUUCUGAUUGAAUUUUUCCGCCUGUUUUUCUGCGGACAGGAGGAAAAACCAGUCGACACAGUAAAUCAAAUGAAGUGUUUGGUGGCGGAGCUGGCAUUAACAUUUAAAUGGUGUGUUUGGAUUGUAUUUGACUCCUGUAUGAGUUUCACACUCUGGUAUAUAAAGGCCGUCAAUGAGGAUAAGAAACGCGUGAAAUUACCUUCACACACCUGUUAGCUCACCUGAAGGAGCGGCGUGAUCUGAAAUCUGAUUAAAUCAGACGGAUGAGUUUGACUCUGAUCGCCCCCCUACACACUCCCCCUUCCGUUUGCGCGUCCCCACGGAGGCGCCGCCAUAACCACAGAGUGCGGAGGGCGAGUGGACCGUUCAGCACUCGAAUAACGAUUCCGCACCUGUGCUCACUCAUGGCAGGAUUUGCAGGUAGUGUGCCGGCAAAAAUGGAACAGGGGGAAACAACAUACAAAUGUAAGUUCUGUUUAAUUUUAUUUAUAUUGUGCUUUACAUCUGAGAAACUGAUCUCAAAGUGCAUACAUUGUAGAAACAAACAAAAAAAAAAGGUCUGAGGUGGUCAGGAAGGUCGUUCCACAGACGGGGAGCAGCAGCCUCAAAGGCCUUGUCACCCGUGGUCUUGAGCGGAGUCCUGGGCGGGUGCAGACGGUGCAUUUGGCCUGACCGGGUUCUGGCCGAGGUGUUUGGGGUGAGGAGUUCAGUGAGGUAGGUGGGGGCAGCACCGUGAAGACAGCAACGGGUGUGGAGGAGGGUUUUGAAUUCGAUGUGAAGGGGGACGGGGAGCCAGUGCAGAGUGCAAAGGUCCACCUUUGUCUCACUGACAAACCCCUUCCCUCCCAAUAGACGUCUCACUCUGUGCUGAAGUUUGAGUUGAUUGGUCAGGCAAAUGUCAAAUAGCAAAGGGGUUCAAAGACGUGUGGAAUCACUAACAAUCAGAAGUUUAAUUCCGCUCCUGUCACUGUAAUGGUUGCUGGAUUUACAAUUUCAGAGGGACAAUGAAAAAAUGAGGCAGCCGGUGCAACUCAGAACUGAACAUGAUGCCAUGAUGCGUCCCAUACCUGCCCAUCUUGUUUAUACCCUCGGAUUUCAAUUGAGGCGCACUCCACAGCUGAGUGUGUAGGAGGUGGAUUAGGAUUGGGCCUUAGUCUGGUUCUGCUUUACCAUUCCCCUUCAGCUCGUUACUUUUGGGAGGACUGAUCAGCGAACAGAGGAAAACUAGUUCACAGGGUCUGCCCAAAGUGGACUCUGCUGGAUUUGAAAGCUUCUUUGAGGACAGGGUAAAGCCAUGGAAACUCGACCGGAAGCGUAAUGAUCUUGAUUCUAAUUAGCAGACGUUCUGUCAUGGCAUCGGCUGAUCAGAGGAGAACAUGAAACAUCCUCCACACAUCACGGGGAAUCAAGAACAUCUUCGAAACAGAGAGAGAGAGAGAGAGAUACCCGAGGAGGAGAAGCGCUCCAGGCUCCUGAUCUGACGCUGUAUUUGUCUCCCAGAAGAGACACAAAGAAAGUCUGAAGCUGCUCAGCAGGUGGUGCAGCGGCGCUUUAAUCUCCUGACAGACCUGAUGACGGCUGAGGUGUGCCUGAGAGUGGAUCCUGGAGUCCCUCAGCUUCAAAGAAGAUCCGGUCUCUUCUCCCAUCACUCAUAUCAUUACCUCUCAUUUCUCGCACCAAAAAGCCUAAUCAUCAUUUACGCUCUCGCCCACGGCUCUGAACGGUCCUCCUUUUAUUUCCUGUCCUCUCUGUUCCUUCCACUCUCUGCUCAACAUACGUUCACGAACAAAGACAGGCAGGUUCAAACACCAGCGGGGCGACGGGGGAUCUUCCAUACAUCUGGUCUGUACAGGGAUCCUCCAUGACAUGAUGAGAAAAAUCAAAAAGUUUGAGUUUGAGCCUACGGCAGAAACCACGAACACGGCCUUCAGAUCCUUUGACGUCAUUAACCUGCGAUGACACAGCUUCAGUCCUUCAGUACUUCCUCACUCUUCCUGCGGGAGCCGGUAAAUGUUCAGGUUCGAGGCCGAGUCUGUGAACUCUGAUCGUCAUGACGACGUGGAGGCUGGAGCCACAGAGACCAUCAGGCCUUGACAGAGAGGUUCCUUCUAAUUUGCUCCCCGGAGAGACGCGCCCAUGGACUUCAGUGGACGUCUCCGAGGUGCAUAAUGCGUUUAUGUUUCCAAUCGUUUCUUAAUGAACGGCGCUCUCAUGUCGUCGUACUUCCUCUCUCGCACGACAAAAGAAGAGUGAGUCAGUGUGAGAGAGAGGACCUUCAGGGUCUAUCUGAGGUCAACGGCCUUGUCAACCUCCUGCAGCGCUCCUUUAUUCCCUUCAACACACGAGGACUGAAGUGGACUGGCCUGGGCCGGUCCACAAUCUCAGCUGUGUUUGAAACAACUUUAUAUUUCUGUGCAGAGAAACUCAGGAACGUGUUAUUCUUGACCCGAGUUUCCUGAGGGCAUGCCUUUUCCUUUUCAAGAGGAGUUAGCGGCAGGGUUGUUGUUUAUUUUCCUUUUAUUCUUGCAGCCUGUGAUAAGCUGGAACCGUGUGAAUCAAAAGGGUAAAGUGGCCUAUUGAAAUGUCUCGUGUCUAAGAACAGCAGAAGGUCUUGAACUGUGAGUGGGAGUCUCCAAGCGUACCUGCCAUAUCGAUUUGCGCGGCAGAACAACGAGUAAAAGAGCCGGAUGAAGUUAAUCUCUGUGAGCAGAUUUCUGCAUAUGAAUAAAGACACUUUGGUAUCAGAGGCGUUCAGGUCUCUUUCUGUCGUUUUCUGUUCUGAGGGUUUGAUGCUUUUAAGAACAGCAACGUCUGGAAAAACACCGACUUAGAAAAAAAACUCAUUUUUCCUGCCGAAUCAAAAACAAAGCCGUUUAUUCAAAGACAGUGAGUGCUGGCGCUAAAGGAAACCAAGGGUAAUGAUCUUAUUCGACCUUUGAAUGAUACUAUCCUGGGAUUACUGACAGCGGUAAUUGCGAGAACUCACAAGAACCUGCGGAUUUACGUGCAAUCGCGCAAUAACAAGUUGUCUGUAACCAUAAAAGCAGUAGAUUGUGUCCUUCUUACUUCCUUUCCAGCACGGGUUAAUCUGUGCUGUUUUUCUACGCCAUGCUCUGGCGUCAGAAAAAAAAUAGAGCCCUUGCGAUCCGCAGCGGAAUGGAGAGAAGCCGAUGGAAAUUGACACGUGAAUGGUUACGAUCAGCCGAUACGGCCUUUUCGUAAACGUUCCAGAUGUGGUGGAAAUUGGGGGUUUCUCUGUCUCCAUGAGAUCUGCACGCCUGACUGUCUUCCUUUACUUUAGCUCCAAAUCAGGGCUCUCAUUAAAAACCUGCUCUGGUGAUUCUGACCUCCGAACAGACAUCAUGGAGUAAUGAUAAUGUCACUGGAGACUAAUUGGCCCCUAAUUAAGGGUUCCCGGUCUCAUGUGCAGUUUUCUGCAGACUUCCCAGCUCUUCUCGCGGCCCCUUGCUCGACAUCGUCAUUAAUUCAACAGGCUCGGCUUGAUUCCCCCGAGGAGUGCUCGACAUGAGAGCCUCACUCAGAUAUGAAGUUUGGACCUGAAGGAGGACUGUUGAGGAUAAUAUGAGGGGACAGAUGGAGUCUGACUCUGCAUGUAGAACAAUCCGGGCCAAGACUGGGUGCACGGCUCACAGAGAAAUCCAGGUCUGAGGAGCUGCAGUGCAGGUCCAGUUAUGAAGAGUGGGACUCAGAUCAGAAGUCAAGUGUCUGAGAGUUUUAUUUCUGUGAAUACGCUUUAUUUUCAUUGGACGCUGGUUUCCAUGGAGCCAACUCUCUUCCUCUUAUCCAGGCUCUCUCUGGGCCUCGCGUCCCUUUACCUCCAUGAGGAUCCUGAAGCAUUCCCAGCCCACUUAAUACAUCUAAUCCCUUCAGCAUGUCCCUGAUCCAUCUUGGGUUCUGGUCUCAGUUGGACAUGCCUGGAAAUCCUCCAAAGACAGGGACCCAGGAGACGCUAAAAUAAGGUGUUUGAACUUCCUCCUGGGGAAACUCUCUCCAGCUCGUUUCUCAGAUCUCUGCGCUCAUGACUACGGGGAAGACUGGGAUGUAGGUCAGACCCAAGCUUUACCCAGCCCCCUCUUUUGAGUUAAAACCACCGCAGCAGGUCUUAGUUUUGUCAUCCUGACCGGCGAAGAACAGGUGACCCGAGGAUACUUUAAUCCUUUCCUUGAGGCAGUGAUUUAUUCUCCAGGGUGGAGCCAUAGCCUGGGGAGGGGUUUAAGGAGAUAACCCAUCUUCACUGCCUCAGGUGAAAAUCCCCACAGAGCUCCAAGGAGGCCGCGGUAGUCUGAAACCAACCGGACUGUAUCAUCUGCAAAAGGUGGAGGCGCAAACUUAAAGUCCUGGUUGACGAUCUGAGAAGCAGCUGAAACAAACGGAGCCGUUGAGGCAGAGUUGGAAAAACGUCCCACCCCCCACACACAAACGAUAACUCUCCCCUGAACCUGUAUCGCCCUCCCCAUGACACACCCCCUCUGCACUAGCUUCAAAUAGGAUUCACCAUGUCGGAUUGUUAGUGACUAGCGGCAGUAAACGCCAGCUCUGCUAGCGAGCGCCGUCUGCAGCUGCCUGGACAGCUACCGUGUUGACAUGUCAGAGACUAAUCAGAGUUAUUUAUGUAACAUGAGCCGCGAUAAAAGGAGAUAAAAAUGACCUGUUCAACUAAAACUCUGCUGUCUCAGCGUCUGUUUUCUCCACUGCUCAAAGGAUGACCCGAUGGUUAUUCACGUUAGAUUCCUCGCUUGGUCACAUUUCCUCUUCGUCUCCGCCCUUUCUUCUGUCGGCUUGCGUUUUCUCCCCACUUCUGGCGGUGUGGCGAGCAGAAGUGUUUUUUUUUGCGUCCUUCUCCAUCACAGCUCCUGUAGCUAAGCUGCUACGCUACUUUUAGCCGCUCAGAGCUCCAAGGAGGGCCGGGAGAGUGGGAGGGGACGAGUCUGAACUACGGGAGAGAGGUGUGUCGAAUACAGCGAGGUGAUUGGAUGGAGAGGCGGAGCUGGAGAUUGACCAAUAGGAGCUGUCCGGGACGGAUGGCUCCCAUUGUUCAAUGUUUUUGCAGCUCUGUACCUGAUAGGGUGAACAGGGUGAACGGCAGUUGCUCAGGAAGUAGAAUGGUUGUCCAAUAACUGGAAGGUUGGCGGUUCGAUUCCCCCUAUCCCGAGUCUAUCCGUUGUGUCCUUGCGCAAGAUACUUAACCCACCUUGCUCCCAGUGUGUGUCCUCCACUGGUGUGUGAUUGUGAGUGUUGUGUGGUUGUGGCAGCCACGUUUCCGUCAGUCUGUGACUACUACGGUAGUUUACCGCCACCAGAGCGUAAAGAGCUUUGAGGGUCUCUGAUAAGGCGCUACAUGAAAUCUGAUGAACUAUUAAAAUUAUAAUUAGUAAACUAUCUUUGUGGCUCAUCAGGACUUUAUUCAAGCCUUUUGUGGGACAUGGAUUCAGGUGAGAUGAACCCCGGAUACCUCAGGACGCCUAAACACUGAUCCACUAGGACUGUCAAUCAACCUCAGGAUGGGGAACACGUUGUUGUUCCUGCUCCUUGUUUUUCCCUCUGGUGUGAAACUCCACAGACACUUUCACUUUUGUUUACAUAUUUUUUUUUUUUAUAGGACUGAGGAAUAAUUGAUCGUUUUUUGGCACAGGGAUCCUUCCAGUCUGGAUCCCUUUGAGCCAGGCUCGUGGGAAGAAGACAGAUCUGUCAGCAGUGUAGGACGUGUGCUCUAGUUUCUGUAGACGGGGAUAAUGUCGGUGUUAUGUAGGACAGAUCCAUCAUGGGUUCAGCCUGAUGAUGGAGAUGUGCACUUUCACCGAGGAGGGGGUUACGGGGUUAAUGUAACUGUUAUUCAACCAGCUACCGUUAUCUGAAUCCAGACCCAUUAGUUUAGGAGACAUGUUGGUUUCUUUAAAGACCUGUUGAGAGACGAGCAGGUGAAUGUGAAGGCGGUGUUUCUGUUUCUCUGGGUUAUACAUAGAAGGACGGAGUGGGAUGGAUGUGAACGUACAUUAAGGGUUUAUCUGUCCAUAUACGCUUCUUUCUGCACAUACAGCGUUUUUUUCUAUGAGCUGAAUAAACCCAAUCUUCUCUCUGUAAUUGAAAUCUCUGUGGGUGUAAGUUUCUACCCAUCACUGCUGUGUUGGCUCUUUAUUCCGUCUUCUCCUUCUUCCAUCAGUCCAGCUCUUUUAGAAAUCUCUCUCCAUCCUUGAAACACUUCACUGUCCACCUUUUGACUUCCACGCUCCUCUUCGUCUCUUUCUUAUUACUGUUUUUUUUCCCUCCUUUUACUUUCUUAAAUGUGGUGAUUUCAUCCUCGCUGAAAAGCGCCCUAUCACCCGUACCUUGGAAAAUUGCCUUAAUUAGGGAGGAUUUGUAAGUAAAUGAGACGGGAUAAUUACGCAUUAAAGUAAACAAGGAUUUAUGUUUGCUGAAGAUGCUUGAGCUUCCGCGACAUAAUGUACAAUUAUGUAAAUCAGUGCGGUCCCUGAUGGAGAGCUGAGGGCCCCGGUGUAGGACGCGGUGUGUGGAAAUCUGUUUUGAUAAAUGCUCUUCCAUUUCGGAGAGUGGUCUGCAUGUAUUCCCAGAGGAAAGCUUUCAGUUUCAUUAAAAACACAGAAAUGGACAAUCUGUUCAAAUUCGCCGUGCCGUUCUUAAAACUGUCUUCUUCGUUUCCGCGCCCCAUUUCUCAGCCUUUACCAAUUAAUUCUGUUUUGCUACACCAAAUAAAGAUAUUAAAACUCUAACGCUGCCGUCGGAGACUUCUGUAAUGAACUCUGAAUCUUUUUUUUUUCUUUGCGCAGCGUUCGAAAGCCUCCCUGGGGGGGAAACGUUGCACGGCCUCUGUAAAUUGGUUACCCUAUUAAGUUUUUCACGGUGGUCUCUUGAGGGAUCCAAUCAGAAGGAAAAACCACAAAGUCCUGCCCCCGGGACACGAGGAGGAAACAAACUUCUGGACCAGUCAGCGCUGUGAAAGUGUUCGGAAUCUCAAAUGAACUCGGCAAGUUCUCACCUUCGUGCUUACUCAGGUGUGAUCCCGCUCGGAAUCCCAAAUACAGUACAGUCUACGUUUGCAACUAAAGCACUUUUCGGCCCCCGCCUGACGACGGCGGUGAUCCCCACAAACCGAGACAGUCCAAUCACCCACACGGGAACAUGGACUCUUGAAACUGCUGGUGAAUGCUGCACCUCGGAGCAACAAGUGGGACAAUGCGCCCGUAAUCCAGCACGACGUUUCUGUCUGUCAAAGUGCAGGAACUAAGUGCACUUAGAGUUUCUGGGUCAAGCCUGUGCGGUGAAUACUAUAUCUAAUCAAAAGGACUUCAGCACCAGCUCAUUAAGAUUCCAGUCUGCCUGACGUUAACACACAUCAGCUGAGAGUGUGUGUAAGAGUGUGUGUGUGUGUGUGUGCGGUAAGUGCUGAAUGGGAAUAUAUGCCCGUGAUGAUUGGUCGAUCAUUGUUGUCUAAAAGCACUUUUAUUCCGCCGUCCUGUUUCCUCCUCCUGACUCUCCCUCUCAUUAUCUCCUCUUGGUUUGUUCCACCGAUCUUUAAUUAACCUCACAUUUAUCUCUCCAUCUCCUUUUACUCCCUCGUAUUUCACAGAUAGCUCUAUCUUCUUCACUGCCUCCACAGCCCUGACUGCAGAGUUUGAUAGGAUUAUCUUUGUCUCGUGGAGGAUUCUCAGGUUAUAGGGAAUGUGUCUUCAUUUACAAAGUUUACUUGUGCUUGUCUCUGUCUCUCUUUCUGCUCUGCUAGGUUGUUUUAGAAACUGUACUCCCAGUCAGCUUGGGGUCUGUAGGUAAAUCAAGCUCCAUCUCGGCCUGUACAAAACAGGCAUGUUCUCACCAACUGUCUGUAUGCAAAUCAAACUCCUUCUCAGCUGGUGUCUGUGUGUAGAUUGAGGAUCCUCUCAGCUGAUAUCCAGGGGUAAAUCAAGCUUUACUGUAGCCAAUGUGAGAGUAAACCAAACACCAUCUCAGCUGGUGUUUGUGGAUAACUAGCACUAAAUAAGCUGGUCUUUAUCUACAAAUCGAGCGCUAUCUCAGCUGGUGUCUGAGUGUCAAUUGAGGACCCUCUUGGCUGGUGUCGGUGGAUAACUAGCACUUAGUAAGCUGAUAUCUGUCUGCAAAUCGAGCCCCAUAUCGACUGGUUUCUGUGUAAUUUGAGGAUCCUCUCAGCUAGUAUCCAGAGAUCAAUCAAUCGAUGUGUGAGUAAAUCAAACACCAUCUAAAGAGGUGUCUGUGUUGGUGGAGAACUAGCACUUAGUAAGCUGAUAUCUGUCGGCUGGUAUCCAGGGUAAAUAAAAAUUGUAGCCGAUGUGUAUGAGUGAAUAAAACACCUUUUUAGCUGGUAUUUGUGUGUAAAUGGAGCAUCCUUUAAUCCACUGGUGUCCUUAUGUUAAUCGAGCACCAUCUCAGCUCAUGUCUUUGUGUAAAUUGAGAAUCCUCUCAGCUGGUACCUAGGGGUAAAUAAAGCUCUAUUAUAGUCGAUGUGUUUCAGUAAAUGAAACACCUGUUUAGCUGGUUUUUGUAUGUAAAUGGAGCUUCCUCUCAUUCACCACUAACACCAUUUGACUUCGUGUUGGUGGAUACCUAGCACUUGGUAAGCUGCUCUUUGUCUGCAAAUUGAGCACCAUUUCAGCUGGUGUCUGUGUGUAGAUUGAGGACCCUCUCAGCUGGUAUCCAGGGGUAAAUCAAGCUUUCUUGUAACCAAUGUAAAUGAGUAAAUCAAACUCCUGUUUAGCUGGUAUUUGUGUGUAAAUGGAGCUUCUCCUCAUCUACUGGUGUCUGUAUGUUAAUAGAGCGACAACUUUGAAUGUAGAUAAGAUCACUUUCUAUAAAGACCAGCCCCUAAAAACAAACAUAGAUAACAGGUCCGUUUAGGUUUUAUAGCAGGUUUCUAACAGAGUGAUUUCUUUCCUCUUUGUUUCUUCAGACGUCUUUAAAAAUCUUAAUUCAUGAACCGUUUGUUUCAUUUAUGACCUUGACUUCUUUCAGUAUAAGUAUGUUCACUCCAGCACAGAGUACUGUCUCUUUCCCCGUUAAUAAUAACUGAUCCUGAUGACGUGAUGUUCGUUAAAGGUACUUUACAGCUGGUUCAGACAUGCGUCCGGUCUCCGUGAACACAUCAGACCUCAGAGUAAAAGGGUCCGCAGGCUGAUAUUUGCUCUGAUUGAAUCAUUGCAUCACAGCUUGAUAUGUGGACGCUCGGAUCAGAGCAUGAUGAAACGAGCGGCUCUGAGUGAACGCAUUAAUGCGCUACAAUGAGGGGGUGUUACAUCAUCAUGUUACCACCUCCUCCACACCUCUGCUUUCACGUGAAUCCUUUUUUUAUCCUUUCUCCAACAACUGCAGGGUCUAAAGCUGAAAACAUUGCGUUGUUCCGUAUUUGCUCCGUAGAGCAGCGUUGGGUAUCUCAUACAGGAUCAGCGUAUUUUGAGCGUAGCAGCAGCGUGGUGCGGCCGCGGUCAGCUGGACUCAGUAUGGAGGGAACAACAUGCUCACAGCAGGUUUUUUUUCCUUUCUGUGGUCGAUUUCCUGAUUAUUCUGAUAUAAUUCAGUGACUGUCGAGCCUCUACUGUCUGUGAAAAAGCUUUAAAGGAUUUUACAGUAAAUAUGUUCCUUUAUUAGGGUUGGGAAUCGUUUGAUUUUGAACGAUUCCGAUUCCUUGUUUUGAUUCCGGUUCCUAACGAUUCUCUAUUCCGAUUCUUUUGAAAGGAGGGAUAUUAAAAAAUAAAUGCUAAACUUCUCCAUGAAUUUUUAAAUCAUAUUAACUUUUUAAGAACUUUACUAUGAAUGUCUCACAUUUUCAACAAGUAUAUAAAUAUCAGUUUUUGUUGUCAGGUCGUUUGGCUGUGAAAAAGUAUGAGGGCUAACGUUAGUAUAAUUUGUUUGCCACUUUAAUUUUAGCAGAAGACAAAAGUUAUUUAUUGUUUCACUUCUCUGAUUCUGGCUGGUUUGUGGAAGACCGGCGAAGAACGUCAAAGACGAACACUCGGGUAUUUCUCCUCCAUGAAUCCUGAGGUGUUUAAUCAUGUUGGUCGUUUACCCUCCUUUACAUGAUAUAACUGUUGUUAAUGUUGCACUGAGAAAAGAAUAGAAUAGAAUAGAAUAUUCCUUUAUUGAUCCCCCAUGGGGGAAAUUUUUUUGUCACAGCAGCAUCACAGACAAAGAAAGUGCAAAAAUGCCGUUAUAAAAAUAAAGAUCCUAAUAAUAAGAAACUUAAAUAAAUGUAAUAAUUAAGAAAAAAAGGGAGAAGAAAAAUAAAAUAAAAUAAAAAUAAAACUAUCUACAAUAUACACAAUUUAAAUGCCAGCGUAGUGGUGGUGUAAAUCCAGUUAAGAGUUCAUUCAUCCUGCUAAAGUUAGACAAACUUUUGCAGUGCGCUCUCUCUCUGUGACUUCGUCUCAUAAUCUUCGUCCUUUCUGCAGACUCCACCAUCGAAACUUGGAAUCAAAUUUUUAAAAUUUGAACGGUUCCUGGAGAAUCAGAACAUUAGUCCUGGUCCCCAAUGUUGCUCAAGUCUCGAUGCCCAACCCCACCCUUUCUGCUGCGCUGUUACCUUCAGACUGAGUUAGCAGGUCACAGUCCUGUUGGGGUCCACAUGGAUCAGGGAUUGACCAUCAGGUUGUUACUGAUGAAUCCAGAACCAGGAAGGAUUCCUCAUCUACACCAACUGAUCCACAGUCAGGAGUUUGAAUAUGGACGAUCCUCUCUUGGUGCGAUGACGCGCAUUGGACUCGUAGAGCAGCAAAAAUCGACUCGCUGCGUAUCUUAACCGGUGCUCCUCUUGGUAUAAAGCUCCUGUACGCUUCGCUGCGUCGAUGAGAAUGGAAACCUAUUCGCUGCGUGAUACGUGACACUGCUCCAAAUACGCAUCAACCGUGUUUGUCAAACUCCUAAAACCCCCACGGAGGAGAAGAGUAGAAGAAGAAGAAGAAGAAAGAGAGGUACAAUAAAGAGAGAGAGAGAGAGAGAGUGUGACAUAUUUCAUGGUAGGAUAUGGGGCCUAUAGGGGCCGUUAAUCCACAGAACAGAGCCGCGGGAAAAAGCUACAAGACUGGCGCUGCAGCCACAGUGUGUGUGUGUGUGUGUGUGUGUGUGUGUGUGUGUGUGUGAUGACAGUUGUACUUGGUCUUUAUUUUGAAGGAUGACACUGACAGAGACAAACAGACUGACUAAAUGCCAAGAGAUUCCCUCCCCCAACAACAACGCCGUGGUGUAACCAGGCUUCUCCACCUCCUCCUCCUCCUCCUCCUCCUCUCCGGGGUGAAGGCCGACGAUGCCGAGGCUGAUAUGAAACAGGAGAAACAGCGAAUGAUCUUUGGGCAUCGAGGGAGAAAUUUGCGUCUAUUUUUAUUUUCCUUCCCUGUCUGCAGAAAAUCGAGGAUCUGGUGGAGUCAGCGGGGACCCUGAUGUUGUCUCAACAGGAACCACAGGAGCUGGAAUAGUCCUCCUCCUCCUCCUCCUCCUCCUCCUCCUCUUCAUCAUUCACUAUGUCCUACAUAUCAGCGCUGCCGGCCUUUGACAGCGGUGAUGGCGGCCCAUCAAACCCCUCACAUGAAGCGCAUUAUGAUGCAAUUACCAGCAACAUGGCGAUCAGAUAACCAGGAGAAAGCUGCUUUACGUCAAUAUCGUGUAACAUAGAUGUCCUAUACGGGCGAUCGAGAGAGAGAGAGAGAGAGAGAGAGAGAGAGCAGAUGAUGGAGGCCAGGUGGUUUCAGCAAAGACCUUUAUACUCUGACGGCUGGAUGAUGAUGUUGGUUCUCAGGUCGGGUUGUUCUCUCUCUCUAGGUCAUUUCAGAUCAGAUGUUGGUUCGAUAUCAUAGAAAUUCAUGCUGUAGAUCUCCCUUCACAGCAUCCUCUACUUAUAGAACCACCUCCUGUCAAUAUUCCGAUUCCGGGACCAGCACAGUGGUCCAGUCGGGUCGUCUCAUCGAGUUCUGGUCGUAGCUUGAUUUAACCGCAGCAUGGAAAUGUACGGAAUCUCAACCUCUCAACCCGGUAAAACUCACAAACUGUGAGAUAUUUCCCCAACUGGCGGUCGCUCAUUGCUCUUGCUCACGGUCACGACCUUCUUUCUCAUAUUUGGAGAGGGAGAGACCACCAAUCAAGACUCAGUAUCUGAUCAUUAAAGUCCUGGUUGACGAUCUGAGAAGCAGUUGAGAAAAACUGAGCCGUUGAGGCAACCGGAACGGCUCUGAUCUGAAACUGCGGCGAUUUUCGCUGUUCCUACCGGGUCCGGACAGCAGGACUCACGAGAACUCACAGGAACCCGCGGAUUCACGUGCAAUUCACCAUGUCCGAUUGCUAGCGACUGGCGGCAGUAAACGCCAGCUCUGCUAGCGAGCGCCAUCUGCAGCCGCCUGGACAGCUACCAGUCUCUGCGUCUGUUUUCACGACCGAAUCCUGGCGGCGCUUUCUCCACCGCUCCAAAGAUGACCCGAUGUUUAUUCCUGUUAGAUUCCUCGUUUGGUAGCUAAGCUGCUACGCUACUUUUAGCCGCUCAGAGCUCCGAGGAGGGCCGGGAGAGUGGGAGGGGACGAGUCGGAAACAUGGGAGAGGGGUGUGUCAAAUACAGCGAGGUGAUUGGAUGGAGAGGCGGAGCGGGAGAUUGACCAAUAGGAGCUGUCCGGGAUGGAUGGCUCCCAUUGGUCAAUGUUUUUGCAGCCCUGCACCUGAUAGGGUAAACUGAUUUUUUCCGUUCUUUUUUCUCUUCACUUUGUGGAGAUCGCACUAUAGGACCAUGAUCGCCAUAGAAACGAGGUUCAUAAUAAUUACCAAUCCCUCCAAUCGUCAACCAUGACUUUAACGAGGGUCCUUCCAGCCCUGAGGAUUCAUGACAUCCCUGUAGAAGGUUCUGGAUCAUCUGGGUUUUGGUUUUUCAAAAUAAUUUCCACUAAUAAUGUCGAUUCAUGACGGUAAUGAAGCGCCUGGUCCAGUCUGAGUCCUUUUGACUGACACCCGACAUCUCCUCUGACACAUUAAUCCCCCCCCUGCUGAGUCUUUCACAUCAGCACGCCACGGCGGAGCCACAACCCCCCGGAGAACAAAUUAACAAUGAAUCAAGUCAGUAGGUGGGUUUAUAGAAGCAAAGAAGACGUUCGGAGUGUGAGGCGGGAAUUCGGCGUGUCAAUCAGGACGACAGCGAGCUCCUGCCGAGUAAACCCACACAUCUCUGCUCAGAGUCAGCUGACUUUAAUGUCGCUCUGUUUAGAGAGGAGACGUGGGAUUAGCAGAGCUCGUUCAUCUGCGGAUCACGGCGAAGAGACGGUUUCAGAGACCGUGUCCCAUCAUCAGAUCCGUACAGGAAGUGCAGACGGCUCGAGCAGAGCAUGUCUUCAGAUUGUGUUGUCCUCUCCGUCUUCUCCGCGGACGUCUCUCUCUCUUUACAUGCAGCAGUAAAUAAAUCUAGUGUGUCCCUGGAAACGGCGUGUAAAUCCAUUUAGAGUUUUUUUUUGUUGAACAGACACAGAAUUCAUCCCUUCAGGCUGCACACAUUUAGAUAAGACCCACUGUGGUUAACACACAAACACGGCAUGUACACACAGCGCACAUUAACACAUGCACGGCAUGGAGGUAAACAAACUUUGCAGAGUUUGAUUGGGUUCAAAGGUCACGUCAUGAGGUGGUCUAACUGUAAAGCCAUGAGCGCAGGAUAAGACGCCGCAGUAAUGGUGUCUGUGAGGCAGGACUGUCAGAACGAAAACAUGUUUAUGUUUACAUCCUCGCUCACAAACAUGACUCCAGGGGCCUGUUCUACGAAGCAGGUUCGACCUAGCGAGGUCGCCUUGGAGCUACCUCGCUCAACUCAGCGCGGUAGCCAGCGGUCCCGCGAAGGACAGCGUACUUUACAAACGAGGAGCAGGAGACGAUCAUGAGAAAGUCUGAAGAAUUCAAAUAAACCCCUAAAGCAACGCUGUCGCCGCUGCAAAAGACCGGAGGGAACGCUGGCAGAAAAUGGCCGACAGUCUCAAUGCGGAAGUGUAGUGCGCAAAAAAUCUUUGAUGCCAUCAUCGCCCUGAAGUAACGCUGUUCAACAUGCGCUUUUAACAUGCACCAGACAUGUUUAAUUCAAGGUGGUCAUCCGGAAAAGGAAGUGGGUCUGUGCAGUCCCUGAAAACUCUCGUGAGCCAGAGUGCUCCUCCUCAGACAAUGCGAGCACCGAGGUCUACAGGAUCCUCCAAGAACAGACAAGCCAUUUUUCGAGAGAGCUCAUUGGUCAGUGGGCGGGGUUUUUAUAUUCGGUGACCAGCUAACCUGCCCCGGUGCAGCGUACGUUGCCAUGGAGAAUCGCCUCAGUAAGAAGUAAACCGGCGUCAUAAAACAGGAAACUCUGAACUUACCCUCGAAGUUACCUCGCUAAGCAGUAAUCCUGCUUUGUAGAACAGGCCCCUGGACCCGGUUUGACCAGGAUUACACGCUGACCUUUUAAAGGACACCAGAGACGGGGUCGAACGCUCGAAGGAAUCAUCCCAGAUCAGAUCCAGGUCAGGGCUAACUUCCAGUUCUUACUUUCUCUCCAGUAACAAUAACGUUCCUGUGGAGACAAAUCGGAAAAAACGAAAACCAAAAUGUUCUGCUUGAGCCCCCAAAAGUUUUAAGAUCCUCUGUGGUCCUCGUGAUAAAAGUUCAUCUUGGGCAUAGAUUUAAAGAUCCAUCUGUUCCUGUUUGGACCAUAGACCUGAUCUCAGUGGUCACACCUGCGGGGGAACUUUAGUACCUCCUAGUCUGCACCUACCAGAGGUGGGUCUUCAGCCAGGUCUUCUCCAGCUCCUUGUCAGUAGGUCAGUUUUAGGUGUCUUCUUGAUGCAUGUGAGAUCAGCAGCUUCACAGACGUGCGGUCAGUCUGCAGACAUCCAUUUACUCUGUUUUCCAGGAUGAGUGUGGUCAGUUUCCUGUAAGGCCAGAUCUGAGUCGUCACAAUGACAGGAACUGAGCGGACACGUGGGCUGGAUCUCCUCCGCCCGAGUGUCAGACUCUUCACAGGUCCAUUUCUAAACAUCUUAUAGGUCCGUUUCUUUAACAGGAGUGUGGGAACUAUCUUGACGGACACGACGUCAGGUCCAAGCUUGUUUGAGGUCAUUUACUUACAAACAUGUGGUCGGUUUCUUUGCAUGAAUAGAGGUCAGAUCCUAAAGAGAUACAAAGCCAGUUCCCCAGUCAGUCCCUGGCCUUUCCUGAGCCGGAAACCUAUCCGUGUCAGUCCCUGGACCGGUCUAAGGUCAUGCAUGACUGAAGGUCAGUGCCUUGGCAGACAUGAGUUUUGGUCCUCUUGCAGAAAAAAGGCCGACCUCCUGAAAACCUAGAGGGUAAUGCGGGAUUUUCACCGCAUCCGGAAUCGCCAUACGCCAAUUUGAUUUGUGAGGCGAAUUUCGUGGCAGAUUACAGACAGCAGGAAUCGCAAGAGAUCACAAGAACCUGCGGAUUUAUGUGCAAUCGACACAUAGACAUACAAGCAGUAGAUUGUGUCCUUUCAGAGGAGGAAAUUUCUAGACUUCUAGAAUCAGCAUCUCCUCAUGGAGUGUUUUAUUUUGAAAAGAAGCCGGAUGUUUUAUUUUGUGUCUCUGCCCGACUUCCUUUCCAGCACGGGUUAAUCUGUGCUGAAUUUCUCCGCCAUGCUCCGGCGUCCAGAAAAAUAGAACUCUUGCGAUCAGCUGAGGAACAGAAAGAAGUCGGUGUAAAUUGACACGUUAACUUGAAUGGUUACGAUCAGCUUCGAUCAGAGGAUACGACCUUUUCGUAGACGAUCAGGAUGAAGGUGGAAAUCCCGGGUUAGUCCUUUAGCUCGCACAAGGACACUGUUGGGGAUCCAUCGGGUGGGCUCCUCUGAAGAUGUUCUCCUCCAGAUGAGACAUUUAGCAUCAGUAAUAAGAGCAGGACACAGCUUUAAAGGAAGGAUCUAGUGUCAUAGAUCUAUGAGUCUGUUUCUGAUCCUGACAUUAAACUCACUCACUCUACAGAUGACUUCCUCUACAGAGGACUGGCUCUCAGCCCAUUCGCACAAGUCAUGCUUGGCCCUCAACCCUCUGACAUUUCCAGUCACUAAGCAGAUUAUAAAGACACAUGUGUGUGUGUCUGUGUGUGUGUGUAUAUAGAGCUGUGUUUAAGUAGGCCAAGCAGGUCUGAGAACAGUCCUAUUUACAGCAGAAGAAGAAAACGUCGAUUUAUGAAGCUGUCAGAACAGAGAGUCGAAGAGGACAGCGUGAUCCACCUGAACCAUGAGUCUGAUCUUCAUGAAGUCCUGAGGUUUGCCUCUCUGCAGAUAACUGGACGGACUCAUGUGACUCUGACUGUCACUCUGACGGGGAAUAAUCCAGAAGAUCUUUAAAUGUCAGGCUGUGUGGUCCACUUCCAAAAGAAGAGAGUCAGGAGUCAGUCCGGGUAAAUGAGGACUAAAUCAGGACACGAUCACCGGGUCUACAGGAGACCGGGUAUCACAGUAAACCUGACUCUGGUCCAGCUGAUCCAGAUCUCCUCUCUGAAGGUUUAAACCCACAUUAGUCAGUCUAAGUGUUCUUAGUGCCGUCUUCACUCUGGUACUUUUCCUCCUUUUCUCCCUCUAAUCUGUGUGUCUUCAGGGCGGACUUACUGAGCGCACUCAGUCAGCACUGCUCCUCUUAACACUCGCAUUAUAGUUCCCUUUAUGUGUGUCUGUGUGUGUGUGUGUGUGUGUGUGUGUGCAUUUCUGUUUACAUCUGCAUUAGAGUUUAACAAAGUGGAGGUUUUCAUCUGUGGUUUUUCUGCCUCUGUGAGGACAGGUUCGGCCUCGAGAGAGCGGACUUUUUUUGGAGGUUGUUUUAUGGUCGCGAAGUUAAGAUGUUUAACGAAGGGAUCGUUCUGUGGGUUUGACUUCUUCAGACUUCAGCAGUUAAAACCACAUCCUUCAACUGAGGACAUGAGCAGACAUAUUUAAGGGAUAUUCCGGCAUAAAAUUAAUUUAGGGUCAAACUCGCCGUAACACCGAGUUAGACCCCCCCUCCAGAGAUGAAUGUUGUCGACCGCUUGCUUCUCUAGUUUUACCAACUUUAGGAUAGCGAUACAGAGAGCCACGCGCUCAACCAAAACGCCACUCUAUAGCCACAAAUAAUGCUCAGAACAGCACCUAACUUCAUCAACAGGACAUAUAGGGUCACAGCCAUAGUACUAGACACCAAACAUCUUUUUAACUUUGACUCAUUUCUUUAGCAAAGAGACUAAAUGAAAAGGUAAAGGUGUUUUUAUUGAGCCGAAUUAUCAAUAAAAUCAUGAUUUUGUUAACAGGUAUGAAUAUAUGUGCUGUCGAGUUAAUAUAUUUGAACAAGAGCACAGUAAAGUUAAAUCAGCUAAUUUUCCAAUGAGGUUCUGUUACUGAAUGGAACUACACCAUGUUCUACUGAGGUUAGUACAUAUAGUGUCACAGCCAUAGUACUAGACACCAAACAUCUUUUUAACUUUGACUCAUUUCUUUAGCAAAGAGACUAAACACAACUCACCUACUCUCUUCCAGCAGCCGCUUGUUUGUACUACAGCGGGGUGCCGCAGCUCAAGGAAGAACAUUUAUGAUCAGAAAACUGUCAGAAAAGUUAAUUUAGAGUCCUGAGAGUGACAAUCUGCUCUCAAACCCACUAAUACUUUUAUUUUUCAUGGGAAAGUGGAGGCCGACCUGUCAGUCCUCUCUCCUUAAUCCUCUCAGCAGCAGUGAGAUCUUUGGGGGGCCACUUAGCAAUAGGGAUGGGAAUAGAAAACCAAAUGGUUUAAUCCAUCGACAUCAUUUACAUUUUAGCUUAACGAUUCCCUGAACGAUUUCUUUCUUCUGGUUCAUAUAUGUUGAUAAAUGAUCAUAUAUGUUUUUCCUUGAGCUGCGGCACCUCACUGUAGUCCCUAACAGACUGGCCUGAGGUCUCUCUACAAACAAGCGUCUGCUGGAAGAGAGUAGGUGAGUUGUGUUUAGUCUCUUUGCUAAAGAAAUGAGUCAAAGUUAAAAAGAUGUUUGGUGUCUAGUACUAUGGCUGUGACCCUAUAUGUACUAACCUGAGUAGAACAUGGUGUAGUUCCGUUCAGUAACAGAACCUCAUUGGAAAAUUAGCUGAUUUAACUAUACUGUGCUCUUGUUCAAAUAUAUUUACUCGACAGCACAUAAAUCCAUACCUUUUUAACAAAAUCAUGAUUUUAUUGAUAAUUCGGCUCAAUAAAAAUACCUUUACCUUUAGGGAGUGUCUAACUCGGUGUUACAGUGUUUGAUCCUGACUUACUUUUACGCCGGAAUAUCCCUUUAAUAUAGAUCUGCAUGCACAGCUAGAUAACUCACUCUGGUGCUGGGCGGUUUCACAGCUUCUCUUGAAAGUCUCCGUCAGCAUCGAUCUGCUUUGGUGCAUUUAAAGGUGCAUGUGUUUUUGUUUUUCAUGUUGAACAGUCAGAUCUGUGUGUGAUGAAUGUUGAUCUUGCGUUCCCCGGCUCUUGUUCUCUGCAGACCAAUCAGACGGCAGGGAGACCUGCGUCUCUGCCAAACACCAUUAAAGGCAUUAAAGACUGGGACUGAUAGUCCGUCUCUGUGUGCGAGAGCGUGGACAUUUGCGUCAGAGCGCCUGUGGAUCCGUGUUUAUCACCCUUAUCUCCUGGUCUGAGCGGCUAACAACACGGUGCUCUGAUAAGAGGCAGAUCGAGGAGUGAUAGAGCGAAGCAGAGAGGUGACACAUCUGGAAACACGCGGAGGUAAUGGGAGGAGAGUCGGAACAUUUGCUUUGCUUCCUCUCUGACCUUUCGUGGAGAAGAAUCAACGGCGUUGGAAACCACUCUGAAAAGGUCCUGAAUUAUUUCCACGCCUGUUAGAGAGGAGGAGAUGAGAUUUCUGUUGUCGUGGGAAGUCGGGAAAAUGGGGAAGUGUCUCGUUGUUUUUGUAAUUACAGUAAUCUGGGUAAACGGCUCUGUAUCUGGUGGGCUCGCCCUCGCGCGUGUGAAAGGUCAGGUCCUGCCAUUAACGGCUCCAUUAGACAAACUCACCGGGUUUUCUUCUUCAGGACUAAAAAGAUCAGAUAAGAGGAAAACACGGACCUGUCACCGCCGAGGGGAUCUCGGAGUGACGGGGUGGAUGAGAUAGAAAGAUGCAAAGAUACGAGAAACAUCCAGAACGAUUAGAAAUACAUUAGAAAGCCUCCGGGGUCAGGACCUUCUUCUUCUUCAUGUAGGAGGACGGAUGUUUUAUGGUUUUAAUUUUAGCUUCCAGACUCAACAUCAUUCACCUGAGAAGAGAAACCGCCGACAGCAGAGACGACGCUUUCUGACAGGAAAUCUAUUUAGAUCUGAGUCAGCGGCAGAGAGCCGCCCUCUCAGGUUACACUAAAUAAAAACGGAAUAGUCAUUUAUAAAACUGCAGAAAAUAGAAAUGAGUUUAAUCCUUUAUCCUCCCUACAGCUGCCGCUAAAUACUCAUUUACUACAUUCAAAUGUAAUCCUCUUAUCGCAGGUGUCAAAGUCCUGGACCCGGACCUAAUCCCCACAAUUAUACUGCGCUUCCACAAAGUUCCUUCAGUCCUCCCAGGGUGAGAAAUCUGGAGGUGAAACUGAAACAGUCAGUCAGACCUGUCAGUCCUCUCUCCCUGAUCCUCUCGGCAGCAGUAAGGUCUUUGGAGGGCCACUUAGCAAGACCGGUAUAGGGGUAGGGUCCAAAGGGGCGGAAAAUUUACGGUAAAUUUCUGUGGGAAGUUACGCUUGGGAAUUUUGGAAAUAUUCCAAAUUGGAAACUUUUCAUGGGAAUUAUUGGGAAUUAACUGGAAAUUGGGGGUAAUACAAACAAACGGUAUCAUAUCCGAACGUAAAUGUAAAUAUUUUUGUUUUGUCAUAAGUAGACCGAUUUAUCGGCAAGUUGAUUACAUUGGAGACUAACCGGUAAUUGUCUAAAACUCGCUGAUUUUCGCCGAUAUUUUCAGAAGUAAAAUGCAGAGAAUAAGAUUCGGUUUCACUUCGAAAAUGUUCCGCCAUUUGAAAAGUUCCCCGACUUACCCUGUAGAUGGCGCAGUGACCUCAUGAUAAUCUUCAUCCAUUAACUACCUCACAUACAUAUUAUACUGUAGAUAUUUACUGUAUAUACAUAUUCUUUAUAACUUCAUAAAAAAUUUUAAAAAUCGGCCGAUUAAUAAUCGGUAUCGGCAUCAUUCAAAAAAUACUUACAUUUAGUAACUAUUUUUAUUUCAUUUUUUACAGGUUAAAUAUCAGACUGAUAUGGAUUUUUUGGGGCCGAUGCCAAUUCGGAUAAUUAGGGGGAAAAAAAUCAGAUUAGCGGUUAAUUGGAUGAUUUAAAAAAAAAUUUAUUAAGUUAUAAAAAAUACACAUAUACUGUAGAUAUCUACUGUAUACUAUGUAAUGUAGAUAUACUGUAGGCUACUGCUCUUCAGGAAGACCGACUGAUCAAACUCGGACCAGAAAAACGUUUUUAACUCCGCCCAUCGGUGCCUCGGCGUCUAAACUCCCGUUACUCAUUUCCGGUCCGGUCUGAUCUGGAGACAUGCAGCUGUAGCGCCAUCUACAGGAUAAGUCGGGGAACUUUUCAAACGGUGGAACAUUUUCGAAGUGAAACCGAAUCUUAUUCUCCGCAUUUUACUUCUGAAAAUAUCGACGAAAAUCAGCGAGUUUUGGCCGAUUACCGAUUAAUCUAAAAUGGGCUUAUAUUGGUCAGUCUAAUCAGCUCGCCCCUAAUAUUUACCCCAUAAUAUUAACAUCAUUAUAUAGACGUGGACUCUAAUGUCUUGGUCUUUGGGCUCUCAAGUGUGUUCAAGAAAUCAGAAAUUUCAGAUUUAUUCCUGUUAAUUCCCACGGAAAGUUUCCGACUCCUGGAUCCCCAAAGGCCAGAGGACCGAGGAGGAUCAAGAUUUCACUCUUUCUGACUGUUCAGACUUUUAAAACUCCUUAAAUUGGCGUUCAGGUGUUGAACAAAAGAUCUUCCUGCUGCUAAACUUCGGCUCAAACUCCUAAUCGAUGAAUUAGCUUCUUCCGCCUUCCUCGCAGGUUUGAUGGCCACCCACUUUGUUUUGGUUUUCCUGAUUAGCCGAAUGCUAAUCUUUUGCUGCUUUUAGCAGAAAACAGAGGCGGGCCGGGUCUCACGUGGACCCGGUUCUUCAGAGCUUGUUAAAAAUAAGUCCUUGACAUCAAAGCAGCGGCGGCACAGAGCAGUUUACCUGCAGCAGUGCAUUAAAGGCCAUUAAUUAGCUGGCAGGCUGACACCGGUGUCAGGCAGGAGGGGGAAUUAGGCAUGAAACGAGGAAGAAGAGAGGAGGGAUAAAAGCAGAGGCAUGAAUUAAUGAAGAGUGGGAGAAGAAAGGGAAGAAGAGGGGAGGAAGAAAAAAACACCGAGGACCCACACAGAGAGGGACUGAGGUUUGAUCUGAGGGAGCACAGAUUCAGAUUAGGGGGACGAGAGUCGACGAUUACACCGUGUCAGAGAGAGGAGUAUCCGAUCCUCAAAAACUCCCAUCACUCAAACAUCUCCAAGGCGUCCUCAAAACACAUUCAAGGACUCGUUCAAGGUGCGUUUGUUAGCCGGGGGGGCGGGGCUGCUCGAUCGACUCUUUCUGAAGCCGGCGAACCAGUCCUGACGCUAUCGACCACAACAGACAAGAUCAGAACUGCAACGUGAUUUAGCCUAGCAUCCAUGCUAGGUAACAGGUAGUAAUGUGUUAUUAGCAAUGCCGUUACUUUAUUCAGUAGCUAAUAAUGUAACACAUUUUUUUUUUUAAUUCAGUAACUCUGUUCCCGUUACCAAACGCUGCGUUCCUCCGUUCCUUUCGGUGAGGUUUUGUAACGGCACAACGCGACAUUUCGGUAACAUGUAAACUGUGUCCCGGGUCAAAAAUCCUUCCUUGCGGCAAACAACGGCAACAGCAAUCUACUUCAGCACCUAGAGACGCACGCGGCGUGCUUCGACAAAGUUUGCGGCUAAGGUGACGCAGCAUCCGCGACCGAGUGUCACAGCAGCGGUUGGAGUUCGGAAGAUGGACCAAUAGCCAGGCGCAACAAUAACAGGGUAUGUUUGAUUGUUUAUUUGGAUCUUUUUUUUUAGAGAUAUCAGGCUGAUAUUCCAAAAGUCGGAUGCGGGUCACUUCACGGACGCAUUCCGUUCACAUUAGAUGCCGCAUUCAUUGUUGUCAUGUGAACGACCGCACAAAAAGAUCGGAUUUAACAAAAAGAUCGGAUUUAUCAGAACCUGCAGUGACAGGACAGGAUCCGUGUUUGUUCAUCGUGUUUUCAGCGAGUAAAAUCAGCUGUAAAAAAAAGAGGCAAACGGUCAAUCAUACGUACAUUUAUCAUCAACAAACACGGACAUUUCUGCACAGUCAGCGCUAAAUCCUGAGUAGAUUUUGAUUACGACACUUAAAGGCGACCUGCCAUAAAAAUGUAAUUUUUCUGUGUUUUUUGUGUCAGAUAAGGUCCAUAUUAUGUUCGUCUUAUGUUGUAAAUGUGAAAACAAACCGUUACGUCGUUUGCAUUCUGUAAAGGUUUAAAAUAAAGGAACGAGUAAACCAGGCCAAUUGAAAAAGCAGGUCAGUGUUACGUUGCGUUGACGUUGCUCAUUAUAAUUCACGAGCUCGUCCUCGGUGAGCCGUGCCCACUCUCUCGUUCUCGUACUCAGUCACAGCCAGAGCGAGACCCAGCUACCGCUGUAUCCGCUAUGGGUCUCUUCCAAACGAUCGGUGUUUCCUUCGGUUCACUGCCGGGAAAAUGAACUUAAAGCUGGGCAGAAUGAAUGAGAAAACACCGCUGGAGAUCUCCAGCUUCUUCCUCAACUUCCACCUCCUCUUCGGACUCGGGGUCUAAAAUAUAUGGUUUAAUACCUGCCGUUUUUAGCCUUUAGCAUAAGGUGACCAGACGUCCCCGAUUUCCGGGGACAGUCCCCGUAUUGGAUGACCUGUCCCCGGCAAAAGCUGUCCCCGAAAAUGUCCCCGAUUUAAGCGUUUCAUUAAUGAGAGCAAAAAUGUUGCGUGUGGGCUCGAACAACGGUUAUUACAGUAGCCGAAUAGGUAGGAAGCACAGGUUAGCAGUCCUGAACAACAGUUCUUACGGGGUUAUUACAAGGGGCAUGCGCUGCUACUAAAUAGUACCGAGACUUUGUCUGUGAUCACACAGCCCCUGCAGCCCCUGCACCGCCGCCGCCGCCGCACCGAAUAUCCCCGGAUAUCAUUACAGACAUCUGGGCACCUUACUUUAGCAUACAUUAGCAUAUGCUAUUAGCAUUAGCAUAAUAACAGUGGAUAAACCGAAAUCCGAACCUCCACUGCUGAGCCAAUCAGAGCACAGUAGGCUUCACAGCAGCGAUCCAAUCAGAGCAAAGCUCAUUACCAUAAAUGUUAAUGAGCCAAAACCAGUUGGUUUUCCUGUAAGGUUUUUUAGGCAUACUAAAACAAACCAUCAAAUAACUUUUCAGCUAAAAUUAUGUUGCAAACAUGAUCAGAGGACAUCAAGGAUUAUGAAAAAAUGAUAAAAAUGGGGAUGAAGUUUUGGUGGCAGGUCCCCUUUAAACUUCCACAGAGAUCUGAGGGGAAUCUCCGCUGAACGCCGACUUGUACUUAUUAAAGUGAUUUCUACACUUUCAUCAGUUUUCCGACUUCUGUUCUGAUGAAAUCAAGUUCCCGCCCUCUUCAUGCUGCUCGUCUUUAUCUUGCGCUCGCACUCGCACAGGCGGCUCUGUGGCCUACAGGCUGUACCGUCUUAUUUACAGUAGAGAACACAGACACACAAAUCUAUAUUGUUACGCCGCCUCCUACAGAAAAACACAAUACUGUAUAUUUAAUGCACACUUCAUGAGUGCACUGAGAGAUAAUCCGUGAGAUGCAGAUAAGUAAAUGUGGGUCAGGAAGCGUUCCAGAGGCGUGCUGGAUUUAUUUCCCCUGCUGAGGAGGAGAAACCUCUUCAGACGGGGUUUAUCUGCUCUGAGGGGUCCGGAGAUUUGAGCAGGAACACACCUCACACUCCUGGAGGGUUUAUGCGCUAUCGCCACCGUCUCAGCGCCUCAUCCUGCCCAUUAUAGAUCCAAACUCCUCGACAAAGCCGCAGAUUUUCUCUCUUAUAGGCGUCACAAUCCUCGGGGACUCUCUGAUCAGAUUAUACCAACUUUCAUCUUGAUACUCAAACCUCGGCUCUUUGACGCCGUUAUACAACAGGCGUAGAUCAGACCCCGCUCGUGAUCAGAGGAGUCCUCUCAGUCCCGGUCGAAGGCCUGGACGGGUUUCUGCGCGCCGAGUCCGAGCCCAGAAGCUCAGCUAAAACUCCUCCUACUCUCCACCUACACAGCCACGCUAGUUCAAGGCCCCUGGGAAGCACAGAAGAAAGGCAUUCUGGGUAUCUUCAGAGGAUAAGUGGACGUGGUGGAAACUGUAUCAACAUCAUUUCAUCAGGACAUAACAACACGGGGACGAGUGGAUCUGACUGUGUAAACCUCUGCAUACUUUCCGUCCUACUACACAUUAUCCAGCUCGUUACCACGGCAACCGGCCAUAGAUAUAAACAAGCUGACACCGACCGUUCGUUAAGAAGAGAUCGUAUUGAUUGAAAAAAAAAAAAAAAAGAGGGUAAACACUCUCUCCUUCCUCUUCUUCACUCCUGAUUGGCUGGUAACCACGGAUCGCGCUCCUUUAAGGUGUCAGGAUAUAUCGUUUGAGCAUCGUCAUGGCGAUAGUCACAUUGCCUGGGAUGUCGGAGGCGAAUGAACUCAUCUCAUUUCAAGGGUAGCUGACUGACUGCCAAUCAGACUACCCUGCCAGCCGUCAAUCAAGAGAGGAGGAAACCACGCCCCUGCACAUGGAGUGAGUCGCUGGCGCUGCCGGUGUUGUGCCGAGAAACGCCGAGAAUGACUUUGGGAACAUUCCUCAUCACUGUUGAGAACUGUAUGGGUUUUAAAUUGUACAUUUCCGUGGACCACUCGACUAUAAGCGGUAUGCGUGUGGCGAGGUGGAUGCAAUUCUCAGCGGGCAUGCGUUUCUCGGCACAACAACGCUAACAACAACAACAACGAUUGCAAAAUGAGCGACAAACGAGAGAUAACCACCGAAAAUGAAGAUUUGUUACCUAAAAGAAAAGCAACGUCACUUACCUGGAAUUGUUGCGGUUAUAGGAAGGAUGAUGUCGACUAAAACACCUGUUCUGUGUUCAUCUAUUUCCAGCACGGCCGCUGUUGUUUAGCGGGCACACAUUUGUUCCCUCCGAUGGGGCGUCGCAACAAUAUGCUUUUCGAUAGUCACCAUUCUGACAUGUUUUGGUAGAUUAUUCGAAUAGCCAAUGAAAAGGGGAGUUGCUCUGGGUCCGCUUCAUGUUCUGAAUUAGAACCAAGUAACAACCAAUUGUAGCGUCGUAGCAGACAGCAGCUCCACCCAACCAUAGCACUUUAACAGGUGAAGCCGACAGCACUGUUGGUGAGAAACAAAGAAAAUGAGUGCUACCCCCGACAGAAAUGACCAUGAAGGCUCAACAGAUGACCACAUCAAUGUCAACCACAACACUGGCGUUAGGAAAACGUCGGUGGUGUGGAGGUAUUUUGGUUUUUGGAGGUCGGACAUGAAGCAGAGUAAUGUGGACUGUAAAUUAUGUCGAGUACAUGUUCUCACAAAGUUGGGGAAUACCUCAAAUCUUUUUCACCACCUGAAGCAGCGCCACGCCGCAGAGCACGCGCAACGCCGAAGGUUACAAACCCCGAGAGGAGCGAGGAGCCAAAACAGGCGAGCAUUCAGUCGGCUUUCUCUAGAGCAACGCCUUACGACAAAACGCCAAAGAGACACAAAGACCUCACAGAUGCAGGAGAUUAUUGUGUUGGAAAAGACAUGAGACCAAUAAACACUGUUACAUUUUUAUAUCGUGAUAUUGAUCGAUAUCAGCUGGUGAGGUUCAGAGUGUUCGUUCAUUAGUAAACUAAAACCUUCACCUCCUGGUUCAGUUUUCUUCACCUCCAUGACGCCUGUGAUACUGCUGAUGAAGCACUAAUCCACCGAUCGAUUGCGCCCUCCCUCGUGUUGAAGACCCAAAGAAACUCGAGGUCAAAGACUCGACCCAAUUAAAGACGGAAGGUCAUUGUUUUCCAGUCCAGAACCAUGGACUCAGACCUUAAGGUGCUGACUUUCUGUCUUUAUACUGCUGGAGGUCGUGACUUGGAAGAAGACGAAAAAACCACAUCGUCUGCAAAGAAAGAAAGAUGGAAUUUAGAGGAUCCUGAACUGAGGACCCUGGAGACCCCUAUCCUUGAAUGUCCUGAUCAGAUGCAGAGGCGGACAUGAUCCGCUGCAGGCCAAAGCUGUUCUUAGCCUCCACAGAAGUCUCUGAAGUACGCGCAGAUAUGGAGGACCAGCGAGUGUUUCCCUGAGUGUGCAUGCAUGGAGAGGCUCUCUACAGUCUAAGUGCAUCUAACAGCGGGAGGAAAACAGGCCAACAUGACUCCUCCAAGAGACCAGUAUCUGACAUGAAGGGGGUCAAAGGCCAGAGGUCACUGUGCUCCUUUGAGUGUGGAGGUGGACUCAGAAACAUGGACUAGUUUAGAGUUUCUUAGAUAGAGGGUUCGAUUAGGGGAACAUUUAAAAACCUGCAGACAGGACAUGGAGGCGGGUGGAAAAAAAAAACACCUAACCUAAAAAAUUCUAACAAAUGUUUCUCAGCUGUUUUUUUUUAUAGUAUUAGAUGUACUUAAUAAAAAACUAAAAGUUUGCCAAAGUUUGACCACUAGAAAGGCGUCAUUUUCAAGAUGGCGUCCAUGAUGGGUUGGAGACCCCCCAGGUGAAUAGGGUAAAAUUUUAAACUAACAGAUAUAACCAUGAAACUCACCAAGUUUAUAACUGACAUUAAGACAAAUAUUUUUCAUAUUACAAGUUUUUUCAAAUGUUAUGUUUGAAUAUGUCAAUGAGGUCAUAUCUAAUUAAAUAUGCACUAAUUUACAGAUAGAUAGAUAGAUUUAUUGGUCCCCGUGGGGAGAUUUGUCUUCACCAACUGUACAUCACAUGAAAGGACAGAAACGCACAUCACAUAAGACAGACCUUAAAGAACAGACAACUAAUGACAAACACCCGGACAACAGCAGUCGGCAACAAGCAGCAAGGAGGCAACAGGGGCCGACUAUUCAGGGCAUCUAUAGCUGCAGGGACCAGGCUUUUCCUAAAGCAGGCCUUGCGAAACCUCAGGGUUCCAUACCUGCGCCCUGAGGGUAGGAGGUUGGAGUAUUUUUUGAGUGGGUGUCUUGUGCUGUGGAGUUUGCUAUGUGUGUGAUGGACCUGUUGUUCAGUUCUGUGAGGUUGGGUGUGGGUAGACCAUUGCUCCUCCGGGGGGAAUUCCAAGGCACUCCCAGGCCAGGCGAGAGAUAUAAUCCCUCCACCUGGUCCUGGGCCGACCACGAGGUCUCCUCCUGGUGGGACAUGUCUGGAACACCUCUAACAGGAGGCGUCCAGAAGGCGUCCUAACCAGAUGCCCGAGCCACCUCCAGUAAACCCAUUUCGGCCCCUUGUAUCCGUGAUCUUGUUCUUUCGGUCAUUACCCAAAGUUCAUAACCAUAGGUGAGGAUCGGCACGUAGAUUGACCGGUAAAUCCAGAGUCUCUCCUUACGGCUCAGCUCUUUCUUCACCACCACUGAUCGGUUCAGCGUUGAUCCGCCUGUCGAUCUCCCGUUCCAUCCUACCCUCACUCAUGAACCAAAAAAAAACCACCCCUUGAAAAUUCAAAUGAAUAUCACAUGAUCUAAACACAAAUCAGGCGCCGGUAUUCCUGGUCUAGAAUGAAAACAAACGGUCGUUUUAAGGACCUGGAAAAGACACUUCUUUAGGGAUGGUGAGAGUAUUUCCUCAUUUACAGAGCGAUAAAAACAAACAUCCAAGUCGGACAUAAACUCAGUUCAGAUUUCAUUUAUUCUUCAUGAAUGUUAUUGAACGUGUUUUUAACCGAUUAAAUGUAAGUGCAGCAUAAAUAUUACUGCAUGAUUUAGAGGAAAAUUCACUGUCAACAUUUCUAAUAUAUUAAUAUAUUCAAAUUUCAGCGUAUAAUGGAUUUCAUCACUAAUAUCUAAUGAUACUGCCUGAGAUUAUACUGCAGUGUGAGUAUUACAUAUGAAGAGACAGUGAAGCAUGAAUAAAACAGCAGAUUUAAGUGGAUGCUGCAGCAGCAGGACUAUUACUGCACACUUAAUUCAUGACACCAUGAAUAUUAUCGCACUGGAAACACGAUGAACACUUCAAACUGAAUAUUAACAAACUAUAGAUAUGUUUGAUAAUGACAUACAGUUCAUAUAUAAGAACAUGGAUGUCUGAUGUUUCUCCUUUUUUCCUUCGUCUGUCUGCUCAAAAUCUUUCAAAAAACAAAUUCUUGGAGAGCUGGAUGAAGUUGCCUCAUUUUUUAUCACAAAGUUAAAUUAUUAAAUAAUUGACUAACAUAGAUUACCAUUUGAAAAAGGGCGCAGACAAAAUUAAAGGUCAGCAAAAACGAAAUUCACCUCCAAUGUGGCUCCAACACACCGGUCCCCGAUCGUUUUCUAUAGAAUCAACUACAAACUGAUCCAGUUAAAGAGUAAAGGAGCCAAGAAUUAAUAUUAUCAUUAAUAUUAGUAUUAAUGAGUGUACACUUUACAUCGCUUUAGGGUUUCACCUUUUUAUAUCUUGUGUUCAGUGUUUGGUAGACAACUUCUUUUUUUAGUCAUCGGUACAGGUCCAGAGAGAAACUGGAGAACAAACUCUGAGGACUGUCUUUUAAUCCCUCAGAACAUAUACGUUUAUUUGGUGAUAUUUGUGAUAUCACCAGAAAGGCUUUUUAUCACCUCAAGAACAUCUCUAGAGUCCGCCAGUUUCUCUCUCAAGCCAAUGUGGAGACUCUUAUCCGUGCUUUUAUUACCUGCAGAAUUGAUUUUUACAACGCUCUCCUCUCUGCUCUUCCUAAACAGAACAUUUGUAUUUUAUCCGGUAUCCCCUGAUCCUCUCCUUCUUGUGUUCUUUAAUGUACAGAACUUUGUGAUACAGUCCAUGUAUGAAAAGUCCUUUAUAAAUAAAGUGAUUGAUUGAUUUGCGCUCUGCCUUCUUGUCCAAACGCUACGGCGCGCUGCUGAUUACCCGCGCUGUGAAUGUUUACAUGCGCUUCAGUUGUCCGGUCUUAAUCGGAGUAAAGCGGUAAUUCAUGUAAACGUUCUGACCGUCACGCUGCAGUAAACAGACUGAGAUGAUUGAUAGUUUACGGCUGUUUCCUGUAAAUGUCUUAUUCCUCCUCAGACUCCAUCCUCAGAGUGACUUCUAUCCACCUGUCUUUGUGAGUAAUCACAGGUUACCAUGUCUCAUAUCACUGAAAUGUGAUGAGGACUGAAAACGACCGUUUACAACCGCGGCGGCGGCGACGGCGAGAUCAAAUCCAAACCUGUGAACAUCUUGUAAAAAAAAAGCAGCUUCACAGAAUCGUAAUAAUGACGCCGACUUUGUUUCCAGCGAAGCUCAGGGGCAGAUCUGAAGUUGUUUCCUCUCAACACCACAAAGGCCGUUACAUAAGGAGAGCAAGUGUGCCAACAUUAACAAGUAGGACACACAACAAUGCUUUCAAAUGGAAAUUAAUGCUCCCACUCACACACACACGAGCUGGGAGGCUGCCACCGGCUUGUACGUUUGUGUUUUAUUUGUUUAUUAUGAAGCUGAGAACUCGCCCUCCGCACGCCGGCGCGCCCUGACACUGAUGGUACUAAAGAUGACACCGAGUACUGAAAAUUAAUGGGGAACAUUAUUCCUGCUUCCUGUUUCCCUCUGAGGAGACACUCUCAGAGAUAUUCCGCACACCUCUGCGAGAUGGCGACGACGUUACCUUCACCACGAAGACAAUUUCCUGUCGCUCUUCCUGCUUUGUUAUUUUCUAUCAAUUCAGAGAUGGAGGACGACCCCGGAGGAGGUCUUAGUUUUCCAUCUCCCCCCCUACAUAUCUAUACCCGACAUCUUCAAACCGGCACUUUAGUUGGAUUGUAUUUCAGGGGGAAACAGAUGUGUGUCAAUAUUGGUUCAAAUAGACUCUUUUGAAAUGUCUGUUCACCCCCCACUCCCACUCCCACCCCCGUCAUACGGAGCCGGGCCUCCUUCCCCAUGAAUCCCUGUAUCAGUCUGGCCUGGAGUUAAGGGUCUUAUUAAAGCCCAGGUAGGUCUGAUAGCGGUCUUCAGCUGGUCUGUAUUUGGGGGUCAGAUAUCCCAGAGGUUCUAGAUGAGGUCAGUAAACGCUGUUGGCAGGUUCUAGGUCCAACUGGAAAAAACAUCCUCCCUUAAAUCCCGCCAGCGUGAAGGUCCCUAAAAUCUCCUGGUGGGAUUUCCACCGAAUUCCGAAUGGCAGCGAUUUUUGCCGUACGCCAAUUCCUACGGGAUCUGUUUGUGAGGGAAAUUUCGUGGCGAAUUACAGACAGCAGGAAUCACGAGAACUCACAAGAACUUGUGGAUUCACGUGCAAUUCCGUGAUAACGAGUUGUCUUUAGCCACAUAGACAUAUAAGCAGUAGAUUGUGUCCUUCCAGAGGAGGAAAUCUACUUCUAGACUUCUAGAAUCCGCAUCUCCUCAUCCAUGGUGUCAUCGAGGUGAAAUGACGUCUAAAAGCCUUUCACUUGUUUGUCUCCGCCUCUGUCCUUGUCUGACUUCCUUUCCAGCACGGGUUAAUCUGUGCUGAAUUUAUCCGCCAUGCUCCGGCGUCCGGAAAAACUAGAACUCUUGUGAUCAGCUGAGGAGUCCGGCGAUCCGCAGAGGAACGGAAAGAAGUCGGUGUAAAUUGACACGUUAACUUGAAUGGUUACGAUCAGCUACGAUCGGAGGAUACGACCUUUUCGUAGACGUUUCGGAUGUGGUGGAGAUUGGGGGUUAGUCUCUGUUGACCCUAGACUUUUUUGCAGCAGCAUCACUACAGAAGUCCUAACAUUCAAACACUCUGGACUUAUUCCGGACCUCAAGACUCUGGACCUUGAUUUCCAAAAGAGGACUUUGGUCCAGCUGUUGGUUUUUGGUUGGGUCUUGACUUGGUGGUAGAGUUUAUCAUCUCUCAGGUUCUGCUGUCCACACGCUCUGAAUUAUAUCAUGAGUUUCUGUUCACUGAACCUGGACUAAGACUAUCAAGGACUAAGACGAAGAUUUACCUUUAUAGCGGUUUCAUCUCUAAUCACAAACCUUUGGAGAAGGAGAAUCUAGAUCAGAUUUUCACGCCUGAGACUGUUUCCUAAAAAACUUCAUUUGUUUAGUAAUUUUGUGUUUUUUGUUUUCGGCUGGUUGGCUCUAAAAACUGGACAAACCAACACUGUUCUUACCUUUGAGUGGAAGAAAAGGGGAAGUGAAGUCCAUCAUGCUCAAAAGAAUAAAACAUGAUUCCCGCCGUCGGGAUAUUUUGAAGUCGUACACAAAAACAAGCCGAGUUGGAAAUGGAAACCAGACAGCAGGGCGGCAUCUUAAAUCAAGUCUUUGAAAGAUUUCUUCUGAAGGAAUAACCAAACAAAUCCUGCUCCACGUGGACUCGCAGACCUCUUUGUUCCCUGAAGUUUCCAUUAUUCACACCGAGCUUUGCUUCCGGACGUGCCGACUGAGUUACAAAUAUGAAAUCAGUGACAUUUAGUUUUUUUUCCGCUCUGAGUGACAUUUCCAAAUAAGUCUUGUUUGAUGUUUUGGCUCUUCCCUUUCUCUUAUCAAAGUUAGUUUGAAAUGAAACAACCUUCUGGAGGCGGCGAUGCCCGACGUCCGACCGACCACUUUGGUCAGAAAUGAAGUUUCUCCGUCAGGAUCUGAGUUUAAAAAAGUUCACAAACAGAAGCUCGGCUGGAGCAGACGUUUGUUUUUUCUGAUGCCAGAUCAUAAAAGUGUUUUUCACUCUGUUUCAUCAUUACACUCAUGAAAAAAGGUGUAAAAUCCACAUUUAUGGACCUGGAACUGAAGAGAGAGCUGAACACAAAUCCAAGAGCAGAAAAACAACAUCAGUAAGCCCAACAGACUCUAUACUUGGAGCCGAGUAUAUACCCAGAUCUCCGUCUUGGUGCGUCUCAAACCUUAAAUUUCAGUUUCUCUAUAAUACAGCUUAGCUCUAAACCUUUAAAUGCUUAACGCAGCUUUACAUUUAAAGUAACGUUUGUGGCUGAAAACGGAGGAUGUCUCCCAGAUUACAGGAGGAAUACAACCGCUAACUUUGUCUUCAAUCCCGUCCAGAAGUUUCUGAGACUCAUCUUUAAUCUAAUACCCUACAUGUGUUCAUGAACAUCAUUCCAACAAAUCAUCCUCCUCCAUCAGCGCCUCUUAAAUAAGCUGCUUUUCCUCCACGCCUGUGAGAACGCCAGCGUAUAUACACAUUUAGACAUACAUUUACAUCUAAUCUCCAUGUUCGCAGCCGAUGUCGUCUCACAGAGCACGAGCAGAAUGAGCUGAAUCUACGAUAUAAGAGCGGCGCCAUCUCCUGAAAGUGGCCGAGACGUCAAUCUUGUCCGAGACAAUUCUAUAUAAUCGGUGAGGAGUGACCUCUGCGCCCCGACGGUCCGGGAACGGAGAUGAAAUGAGCUGAAUAUGCAGAACGAUGAAAGGUUCUUCUUUCGAGCGCCGUCUCAUCAGAAAUAGAUGACUUUUGUCUCGGCAUCAUUACUGAACCCUCCGACGGCCUUAAGCUGCAGAAUCAGUCAUCCGUACAAACAUUCAUCUGCAGACGCUCUUAGUAAGCAGCCGGGCCGCUCAGGCGUGAGCUGACAACAUGCAGUAGGUAUUUAGAAAGCAGAUCAGGUGAGAGCGAGCACACAGUCUUCAGCCAUAUGCUUUUAUUUGUGCAGCGGGGGUGAAAAGCUGCUCUCUGCUGUAUGUAUUUGCAUGUCAUUAGUCCGGGGCGGCACAUGCAGCGGCGGUCUGAACCGUUUCAGACUGCAUGACUCUGUGGGUUUGAUCAAGGGUGAUGGGAACAUGAACGGAUCGAGGAUUCAAGGGGCGGCAAAGACCUUAAAGCGGGUCAGCCGGUCCACCGCUUUGGUCUUGAGCUGAUUCUGCAAACAUGACGGAUCGAGGAUUCAAGGGGCGGCAAAGACCUCUUAGAACUCCGCAGGGGAUCCCACGUGACGCCAUUAAUAUUGUUUACAGUUUCUCAGGAUCUAUACCGUCUAUCUCUACGGGGUGAAAAGUGUUCAAUAGUUUACCCUUUUGGCGAUCUAUCGAGGGUUUCCAGACAUUUCUACACCUGCCACAAGAUUUACAAUCCAGCCUCAAAAACAGGUGUUUGAUCAGAGACGUUUGAUAGUGAUAUACCGGUGAAAACAGGAUUAUUGAUCAGAUUAUUGUGACAUAAAAGGUCAAGAUCGCUAUAUACCGCUAAUGUCUUCUGGGUUUGACGAACUGUUUUGAUGACGUCUUUUUCUGUUAAACUUUCGACCUUCUUCUAUUGUUCCCUUGACGGUAGUGUCCAAUAAGAGGCAACCAAAGAUCAACAAGAGACAAGAAAGUUCCCUGCUUGUCUGUAAAAUCAGAAAUAAUGGUCCUCAAUGUUUGGAAACAAGUAAAGAAGAGAUUCUGAGCAGUAUGAUGUGGUCCUCUGUCUCAUCAUAGGAGUGGCAGAAACAACUGUAAAUAGUCAAAAACGCCUGUAAGAAUGAGUGUAAAUAUGUCAACAGUUUCUGUUGUGUGUUUGUUCCAAUCCCAACAUUUCUUCUCCUGAUAGCCAAGACUUGAGAGAAUGAUGUUCAGGUGAGAAAAGGCUUGGUCACUGUAGAUUUAUGGGUUUUUGGAGAAAAGUUCUGUUGGGAUCAAUUUCCAUUUUUGUUUUUUUGGUUGACUUUGAUGGUUCUGAAUCUGCUGUUACAUUCAUUCAUGCUGAGGUUGUCCUGCAUAGAUUUUUACAAAAAACAAACAAACAAACAAAAAAAAAAAACCCCAAAAAACCAGACGGACCAAAAUAUAGCUGGGAGUUCCGAGGGUUAAAGAGGGUCAGCUAAUCCACUGCUGUGGUCUUAAGCUGACCCUGCAAACAUGAACGUUUUCAGUUGAAUCCAGAGACUCGGACCAGGUCGAACGGUUUGGAAGGUGGACUGUAGAGUCUAUGAUGUGGACUCUGACCGAGGAAACCUGUUGAUACCAGAGGGGGCUGUAACAGCGAACCCACCAGAGUCCAUCCUGACCUGGUUUUCCUCGUCGCUCCAUGAAACUUCAACAUCGCUUAACACACGAAGAAGAGCGGCUCUGACUGUAGAGGUCUGAGUCCAGCUUGGAAACAGUGGCGUAGACAAAGUUCUCCAACCCCAGACCAGCUGUUGGACCAGCAGAAGUCCAGCGAUGCUCCGAUCCCUGUCAGUCAGUUUGUUCAAAAAUCUGGAUCUUCAGGGUUCAUGUGAACUGGACUAAAGUGGACCUCUAGAUACCCCAGGAUCAGCUCCUCCUUCAUGUGCCAUCAUUAUACAAUCGAUCAGCUGAUGUUGCCCUGCGGCUUCACAGCGGCAUCUGUUAGCAUUAGCAUAAUUCCACAGGUUAGACGCGCCAGAUGGUUGUUAGUUUCGGUUGAACGGCUUCAGGGUUCAAUCAUAAGUAAGCCGAGACCACCUCCUUUGGGUAAUUUGUUUGCGGUUGCUGCCUUCACACGUGAACAAAAUACCCAUCCUGGGGGGACUACAACCCUGGGGUGAGAAGACCCUCAUCAGUUCUGGUCAUCUCGUAGUUUAACCAAAUUUAUGGACGAUUCUCAGCUCCAUCAUUUCCACAGCUGUUGAUUCCGCUCAGUCACCACCUCUGGAGCAGGUCUGACACGUCCCCCCUGGACUUAUUCUGGUCUCAAACCUCAGCCAAUCAUAAUGAGGUUUCCGUGGAGACCGGAUCAGCUGUAUGGCUCCAACAGAGGCCUUCAGCUGACACUAACACGAACCCAUCUGAGGUGUCUGAUGGAAAUACCGAUCACCCCUGACUAAUCAAUCAGACUGUUUGACACCGUUUCCCCCUGAACCCUGAGGAGCCUGAUCGAUGUCGACUGCAGCUGUGUGAAAAACGGUAUGUUUUUUCACCCUGUAAAUUCAAUUAAUAUCUUAAAAUAACCAAACUGUCACAUUUGUUCAUUUUCUUUUUAUUUUUAAACUCAGAUUUUUAUACAAACACAAACAAAAUGUCCAACCAGUGUGGCGAUUUUUUAUAAUAUGGCGUAUCUUUGGCGAAAGACUCUGCGAAGCUCUUUUGUGUUUCAUCUUUAGGUGGUGGAAGAGGUUGUUGGUGUUUCCUCCUCCACCGACGACAGCCACACGACACUCUCUACAUCAUUUUGUUUUUUGAUCGUUGUCGGAUUCUCUAAAUCCGAAGAAUCUCCAGACAUCAGAUGUCGCGGCUCGCUGCCUUUUUCAACAUGAGUUCCUCCUCCCCUUCUUCGUGUUGGGUGGGUCGGGCUGCUUCCGUUUGCUCGGUACUGCCACGAAUUUCCACGUCCGCCAUGACCACCACCAGUGAAGCAGUCUGCUGGACACGGUGGUGAUUAUAGGGAGCGCACCCAAACGGAUGCACUCCGGCUUUCCUGUGAGCGAACGCAGACAACUGCACACUGACUCAGAGAGACGCAGCAGACAUCUGCUCGCUCUCUCUCCAGUUUAAUCGGUAAUCAAAAUUCCUACCCUCAUAUCGCCCAACACUAGACUGAAUGAAUUUUUGCCUCCUUGAGUUUAUCUUGGACCCACAAUCCUGCUGCAGCCCCUCUACAUGAUGGCUUUGUUAACAUCUGGAGGCCUGAGCGGAAAAACCUGACCGGCAAUUUCCACCGCAUCCGGAACGGCUACGAAAAGGCCGUGUCCACCGAUCGUAGCUGAUUGUAACCAUUCAAGUUAAUUUGUCAAUUUCCAACGGCUAGACUCCGCAGCUGAUUGCAAGAGUUCUAUUUUUUCUGGACGCCGGAGCAUGGCGGAUAAAUUCAGCACAGAUUAACCCGUGCUGGAAAGGAAGUCGGGCACAGACACAAAAUAAAACAUCCGGCUUCUUUUCAGGAGGAUCGUACUUCACACCAUGCAAACGGGGCGGAAUCGAACAAGUGAAAGGUUUUUAGACGUCAUUUCACCCCGAUGACACCAUGGAUGAGGAGAUGCUGAUUCUAGAAGUCUAGAAGUAGAUUCCCUCCUCUGGAAGGACACAAUCAAGCCUUUGUGGCUAAAGACAUUGCGCAAUUGCACGUGAAUCAGGGGUUCUUGUGAGUUCUUGCGAUUCCUGCUGUCGGUAAUCCGCCACAAAAUUCGCCUCACAAACGGAUUCGGUAGGAAUUGGCAUAGGGCGAAAAUCGCAGUGGAAUUCCGGGUGAGGGUCCAUCCUCAGUAUCUCCUGGCGCUCCUCCUGAGUCCACAUUUCAAGACGAUGUUGCACCAGAGUCUGGACCUGCCGACAUGCCAGUAUCGGUAGACCCACUUCCUGUCCCAGUGGUUUGUUAAAGGGGUAUCCUGCUCCCUUUAAGUGAAGCCCAUCACAGGAUACAGAGUAAACACUGUGAACACAUGGAAACAGAGACAAACAGAGGAGGAGGAGGAGGAGGAGGAGGAGGAGCGGGGGAUGGGAGGACAUGUCAUUACCAUACAAACACAGGGAGGAUUCCGAGUUGGUAACACGCAUGAUCCUGGCUUUAUUUGACACAUCAGCUGUGAUUCACAGAGGACAGGUUUUUACAUCCCGGUGCUGUUAUAAUCCGCCAACGUGACACUCUGUAAUUCUGACAUAUAGCAUGUACAGCCUGGGGGUGUGGAGGGAUUAUGUGCAAUUUUGAAAUGUCACAGAUCAUCUUGUUGUCCAAAACAUGGGGAGCGUGUGUAAACAUGAAGAUGGAGGUAACGGAUGAAAUGAUGGAUGGAUCGAUUGACGGACACAUCUCUCCACGACGACGGCGGUGAUGGAGAGAACGAUGAAAACGACAGAGUGAUGAAAGAGCAGCCGAGGACGAGGAGAUUACUCCAGCAGAGAUAUGCUCUCAGUUUUACAGCCACACACCAUGAAUUAAGAAAUACGGCCUGACGCUCAUAUAAGCUGGAAAAUCUCCACCAUGCUGCGCGGAGAUCAAACUUUAAAGAAACAGGAGUUAUCCGAAGAUGCUCUGACUCGGGAACAGCAAAAACUUCAGGAGAUACUUUACAUUUCUUCUGUUCUUGUCGGCUUUAGUGCCAAAAUUAGAAACGAAAUCACCCUGGAAACCUUCCAGUUCAGAUUCAGUGUGUUUUAAAGAGGCUUAGAAAGAGCUGCAGACGAUAGAAACUCAGAUUAAUGAUAGAUCUGAACAGAUCAGAUCUGCUUACCGUGGAUUUGGAUGCAGAUGUUUAUGUAACUAAAUGGAUCUGAUCAGGUUGAUGCGUGGUGGAUCAGUUUGACAGUAGGAAGAGGAGAGUUUGGGUAAACAGGUGUCUGACCUGGCAUAUCCGACCCGGAAUGGCGGCAAUUUUCGCCAUACACCGAUUCCUACCGAUCCAUUUGUAAGACGAAUUAUGUGGCGGGUUACGGACAGCCGGAAUCGCAAACACAUAGACAUAUAAGCAGUAGAUUGUGUCCUUCCAGAGGAGGAAAUCUACUUCUAGACUUCUAGAAUCAGCAUCUCCUCAUCCAUGGUGUCAUCGGGGUGAAAUGACGUCUAAAAACCUUUCACUUGUUCGAUUCCGCCCCGUUUGCAUGGUGUGAAGUACGAUCCUCCUGAAAAGAAGCCGGAUGUUUUAUUUUGUGUCUGUGCCCGACUUCCUUUCCAGCACGGGUUAAUCUGUGCUGAAUUUAUCCGCCAUGCUCCGGCGUCCAGAAAAAAUAGACUUGUUUGUCUCCGGAUGUUUUAUUUUGUGUCUGUGCCCGACUUCCUUUCCAGCACAGAUCGGAUGUAAAGAAGUCGGUGUAAAUUGACACGUUAACUUGAAUGAUUACGAUCAGCUACGAUCGGUGGAUACGACCUUUUCAUAGCCAUUCCGGAUGCGGUGGAAGUUGCCAUUUAGAGCGCUCUGUCUCAGUCUAAACUUUGACAUCUAGUGUAAAAGAGCGUUUGCAUCUGUGUAUGUCAGCGUGGUCACUCCGGCGCCCGCUGUUCCUCAGACUGACUUCUUCAAAGACGUCUCCGUGUCGUCGCUGUUAUAAUCUGAUUUGUAAACACGACCGGCUGUCAUCUUCGUCUGUCAUUAAUUGUUUCCUUAUCACCUCCCCAAUAAUCCAAAGCUACGUGGGGCAUCAGCAGAAAAAACCUCUAAUUUAUGUAAAUCUAUUUAAAGCAGAGUCAAACCAGGAGAAUAUUUGAUCAGUCUGAGCCGUGUGAGGAUGUGAUCGGGUUUCCCAACCAGAGUCAGAAAGAGGAGGAUGACAGGAGAGGAGCCGGUGGAGAGUUUCCUCUAAAGAAGGGGUCCGGGUUUUGUUCAAGACUAAAUAAUGGUGAGAACAGUCUGAGAGAGAGAACUGAAGGGACUCCAGAAAUACACGUUUAUGCAAAGUGAGCGAAAUCACCGAGAAGAUGAUGAAACUAGAUCUGAAGAAAACGGUUUGGCCUGGUGGGAUGCGAUCUCAUCAGGAACCGUCUCUGACCACCAAAUUCACGGUACAUUAUUAAUGAGGACUUCUCAUCCGCCCUGUAGCCUCAAUAAAUGGAUUAGGUUUCAUCAGAGUCACCGACAGAAAUAUGAAACGAGAGGAAUUGGCUUCAAUCUGGUGGAGUUAAUGCUGCGUUCCAGUUACCUCAGAGGUCGGAUGUCAGAGCUGGGAAUGUUGUUACACCUGAGUUGAUGGCGUUCCAGUAGACAAGUCGAAAACCAAGAUGGACGCCUACUUACUCUAACAAACACCAUAACACCGUGUUCAUAGACGUUGGACAGUAAAAGAUAAACCACUUAUUUAAUUUCACAAAAACUAAACAGAAGUGCUAAUAAAUAAACAUUAAGAGAGCUUUUACUGUUACUUACUGCCAUCUUGAAUUAUGACCUUGUCGUCAAGUCGGUGUUGGCGAGGAUCGUCUGGCUUUCCGAGUCAGAAAUCCGACUUCAGGGGGGCGUUUCAGACGAAUUUCUGACUCGGCGCUCAGAAAUCCCAACUUCCGAAUACAACUGGAACGCAGCAUUAGUCCAAGUCCACCAUCCUUCAUGAUGCAGUGUUUACAGGUGUCAGUACGGGUCGGUUCACCUCAGUACCCGGGUCUGCUUAUGUCUUAUGGGGCUUUCAAAACCAAGCGCAAGUAGAAUCAUCUACUCGCUUAAUUCACAUGUAUCUAGACGCGUGAAUGAAAAGUAUGUACUCACUUCUUUCACGUGAAUGAUGAGCGCGUCAACAGAGAGCUCAAAAGUUAAGAAUAGCCGGUUAUGCUAUGUGGAUUGCUGCUUUGUUUUUGUUGUGAAAGGCUCAAAAUCGUCUGAGAUGUAGGCGUCACUGUGUCGCCCAAAUGACUGCGAUUGCCAGCGGUAUUUUCGAACCCAAUGUGACGACCUGUUGGUGAUGGUUGGUUCCAGGAUAUCCCUCCAGGAUACCGAUUACAGGCGCUCUAUCUCAGCUGCAGAGCGCCUGUCCAUCUGUCUACUGUGAGUAAAAGGAGUUGUGUUUCUAUUUUCACACUAGUAAACAUCUUCCACUCUGUUUUCGUACGACACCAGAGAACCUUCAUGCUGAUUCGUUAUCGCGACACGAAUAUUGGCUGGAGUUUAGAUCUUUUCAACUCUCACAAAUUUGUGUCCCCUCAAUUUCAUGAAUAACUCAAUCAAUUCAUGUCAUUCGUGCUUCCACAGUAACACGAGCGUAUAAUCGCAUCUUUGACUUCACAUGUAAAUCAUUCAUGUGAAUGAUUUUACUCUAGUGUAGUGUAUGCAGGAUGGUUUUUCCUCUGAUCACUGUGCAGGUGCAGCCCUGAGUGGAUCCUGCAGGUGUGCUGAGGUUCAUUUAUAUGACAGCCUUUGAACCGUCACAUCACCGUCUUUGUGUUUUAGGGCGAUGAAACGAUAACGAUAUAUAUUGAAAAUUAAUUUCCCUCGAUUUCAAUAUAAAACAUGAUCAAUAUGUUUUUGGAUAGUCGGCAUUCUGACAUGUUUUGGAAGACUGUACGAACAGCCAAUGAAAAGGGGAGUUUCUCCGAGUCCGCUUCGUGUGCUGAAUUAGAACCAAGUAUCAACCAACUGCAAAGUCAUAGCAGACAGCAGCUCCACCCAACCAUAGCACUUUAACAGGUGAAGCCGACAGCACUGUUGGUGAGAAACAAAGAAAAUGAGUGCUACCCCCGACAGAAACGACCAUGAAGGCUCAACAGAUGACGACCAUUCCGCUUUCUCUCACGUAACGCCCUAUGACAAAACGCCAAAAAGACACAAUCGACUGAUAUGAAAAAAAAAUGUGAUAAACUUUUUCCCAUAUCGCUCGAGGCCUUUUGUGUUUUCAUCAUCCAGGAAAGUACCAACUGUUACCAGGUUCAGGUCCAGGUUGGCAAGAGGACUUGGGUCUUUCCCAGCUGUAACUGUGAGAGAUGGUAGAUCCUGGACUGGGGUCUCCUGCCCGACUCAAGGGUCAAACCUUGAACCUUCUCGCUGUGAGGUUUCUGUUCUACCUCUAAACGGCCGUGAGGUGUCUGCAUGAUGAGAUAACCCUCUGAUGGAGUAAUGGAGCGCUGCUGGAGGUGGAGGAGGUGAUGAAUGAGGGUCCACAUCUGACACUGAUGAUAAGGAGUGGAGGUGACCGAGGAGGAGGAGGAGGAGGGUCACAUGGAGGGUCUCCAGAGAGGAGAAGAGAGCCGAGUUUGACAGGAGCAGGAGGAUUGUGGGAAUACUAAGAGGUGUGAAUGAAUAUGGAUCAGUCCGCCUGCUCGGACCUCGGAGCGGAUUAAUGAUCAGAAAUGAGUCACUGCUUCUAAUUAACGAGGAAUCUUGUUGGAAAUGAGGCGACCAUGAAGGAGCGCCAGAUCUCCGUUUUGCUUCCAGUCCUGAGUUAUUCCUCAUGUACCGCCUCUGUGAUUAAUGACCGCGCUGAUCAAGUUUGUCUCACAGAAAUGAGGAACCGUCCCAAAACCGGUCCCUCCAUCAGGAACAAACACCUGGGUCUCAUAACUUCAAGUCUAGGCGGACAAGAACAGGUACUUCCUCGCCGACUUUAAUCCACCUGAUGUGAAAGAGUAGAAGGUGGAGUUUAGAAGAUAACUCAAAAUAAACUCAGGUUAAGUCCCCGGAGCAGAAACACGUCUAACAUCCUGAACACGUUCGUGUCGCUGUUGUUAAAAGCCGAUCAACGCGCCGCUGCCUCGGAACAGAAAACUAAGCGUGCUGCGUCCGAACAAACGGCGUUUCCAUUUCAAAGUGCUCUCCUGUGUACCGACUCUUUUCACUUCUGCUCACGCUCUCCUCUCAGCAGGUCAGAGUUGGCGUUUCACAGCCCAACUUCACUCCCCGCUGCUUCUGUUUUUUUUUUAUUUUUUGGAGCGUGUUCACAGACCUGCUGGGAUCCAAGAAAAACUCAAACCAGAUCCAAACCGCGAGAAAAAAAUGCAUAAUUUACUGGAGUUUAAAGAAGAGUUUCUAAAGGAAACAUCUUCAUGUUCUCCUCCUGACAGCUCCUUUACUGAGGGAUAAAAGUAAAACAUAGGAUAACAAGAUUAAAAGACCAUGAACCCAUUACCAUCGGAGGAGCUUAAGCUUGAAAAGUCAUUGGAUGGAAGUCAAAUUGAGCGUGUACGGGGGAAGGAUAAGGCCGCGUUGUUUCCGAGGGUUUAUCUUUGGUUUUUCUUACAGCAGUGUUAGUGAUUCAUCUACGGAUAGUGUACAUUCUAUACAGUUACUGUCUAUAAUAUGUAGAGUCAGUGUCCAUUCUAUACAGUUAGUGUCUAUACUAUACAGAAAGUGUCUAAACUAUAUUGUCAGUGUCUAUUCUAUACAGUAAGUGUUCAUUCUAAACUGACGGUUUCUAUACAAUAUACGGUUGGAGUCUAUUCUAUAUACAGUGUCUAUGCUUUACAGCGCCCAUUCUAUAGAGUCAGUGUCCAUUCUUUACAGUUAGAGUCUAUACUGUACAGUCAGUGUCUAUUCUAUACAAUUAGUGUCUGUACUAUACAGUCAGAGCCCAAUCUAUACAGUUAGUGUCUAUACUUUACAGUCGAUGUUUAUUCCACACAGUCAGUAUCUUUACUAUGCAGUCAGAAUCUAUAUUAUGCAGUCACUGUCUAUACUAUACAGUCACUGUCUUUGGUAUACAGUCAGUGUUCAUUCUAUACAGUGAGCAUCUAUACUUUAUAGUCAGUGUCUAUACUGUACAGUCAGUGUUAUUCUAUACAACUAGUGUCUUUACUAUACUAUUAGUAUCUAUAGUAUGCAGUCAGUGUCUAUUCUAUAGAGUCAGUAUCUAUACUAUAUAGUCACUUUUCAUUCUAUACAGUCAGCAUCUAUACUAGAGUCAGUAUCUAUACCAUACAGCCAGUGUCUAUUCUAUACAGCCAGUGUCUAUUCUAUACAGUCAGUGUCUAGUUUAUACAGUCAAUGUCUAUACCAUAGAGUCAUCUAGAACACACAGGUCUUUACAGCACUUUACUUUUUUGUCUCCAGUUUUAAACACGUUUGUUUCAGAUACUUUUACUUUAUUUAUAUUUGAUUUUUUAAACCCAUAAUUUUUUUUUACCUUAAACUGUAUUUAUAUUUAAUUUUUCACUGAAUAAACUCUGAGUUUUUUUUUUAAAUCUUAAACUGUAUAAAUUUUUUUAAAUUAAUUUUUGUAACUGUAAUUAAUUUUUUGAACCUUAUAAACUCUGAGUGUGUUUUAUUUUUUAUUUUUGUCACUGAAUAAACCCUGACUGUGUUUUUUUUAAUCUUAAACUGUAUUUAUAUUAAAAAUUUUUUUACCUUAUUAUCUCUGACUGUUUUUUAUUUAAUUUUAAACUAUAUUUAUAUUUAAUUUUUUUACCUUAUUAUCUCUGACUGUUUUUUAUUUAAUUUUAAACUGUAUUUAUAUUUAAUUUUUUCAUUGAAUAAACUCUGACUGUGUUUUUUUUAAACUUAAACUGUAGUUAUAUUAAAUCUUUUCACUGAAUAAACCCUGACUGUGUGUUUUGAUUUUUUCAUUUCCACAGCUGCUCUCUCUUCAGUCUCACAUUCCUUCACAUCAGAAUUACAAACCCGCUCACAUCUGCCUCCUGCCCCCUUUUUAUCAACUCCAAUCCUCCACGACCUUCACCAGUCCCUCCUCCCGGUAUGUCAGGAAUGACACACACUUACACACUUACACAAUCAAACACACACACACACACACACACACACAUACGUAUGUAUUUCCGUCUAUCCUCAGGAUUAUUCCUCCUCCCUCCUCCUCCUCCGCUCACAGACCAGAAAACAGUUUCUCCUCCUCUCCACUCGCAGCCCUUCCUCCUCUAAUGUUCCUCUGAUCACUCUGAGUGCUGCUCUCACUCACACGUAUGUAAGGACUCACACACAUGUACGAGGACUCACACACAUGUACGAGGACUCGCACACGCUCUCUAAUGUUACGGUGCUUCGAUUCAAUCUCGUUUUAACCUUUAUGUCACCCUAUUUGUUUCCUCUCCUCUUGUUGUAAUUGAACAGGAAUGAUGGAGGAUUUCAUGUGAAUUGUUUUUAAAUGGAGGAAUAAUCGACUGUAAAUAUCAGUGAAAAUACUUUAUAUUCAUGAAGAGUCCGGAGUAGAUUUAGUGACAGUUUAAACGGUGAAGUAUGUUGUUAACGGAGAUCCAAACACAUCUGAGAAAAUUCACACUUCAAGCAGAGGAAGAGAAUCCGGACGUCUUAAUGAAUCUCCCCAGAUUUUACCGAGCGAAGCAGCUUCUUCUUUGGGAAUUCAGAAACUUGUGACUCUAAGAAGUCAAUCAAUUCACACAGAAGAAGAAGAAACAUCAAUAUUCAUGCGGAGACGGGCUGCCAAACUCACCAGCCUGAGUCCUCCUGGGUCCAGAACUCUCGUGUUGGUGCUGCUGGGAGGAAGAGAUGUUGGCAGACGGAUGACAGGCUGGGUGGUGAAGUGGGUAAUGUGAGGUUUUAAAAGUUUUAAAGGUAUCUGUGGAGGUUCGGACGGGUUUUCUCCGCUCAUGCUUCAUGAGGAAUAAGACCGUCAAAUCUUUUAAACUUUGUGUGUUUCUAAAAGUUGAUCCACUCUUUUCCAACUUCCUGUAACAGGCAGAAACCUCGAGCAGGACCAGACUGAUUAUGGACAGUAGGGCAGUUUAGAGGACCAGAGAAAACUACGGAGGCCGACAUGGUUUCGGCGUAUUCACACACCGAUUCCAUGUUCAAUUUAGUGGCUACCGACUGGCGGCGCCGGGAGUCAUUAACGCCGACAUGUUUUACAAUGUUACGGAAUUUACGUUUAGCCUUUGCCAGCAGUUUUAAACUACCUUCGAUGUCGCCCGCUCGCUAAUUUCACAUUUCAGACUACAGAGUCUAAUGUGGGCUUCUUAGGCCUGCUGCUAUUGCUUCCCUUUCACAGUAACCCAACCACUACUACAUCACGGCUACUCGGGAUAAGCUAAGCUAGGCCGACCCGCACCGGCUACCGGGUCCUGGCUGGCUACCGCUACUCUAGCGUACUCUAGCAUUGCUCCGUGUCCGCUUGGAGCUGAACCAAUCAUGUGCUGAAUUAGAGCCAAGUAUCAACCAACCGCGUUAUAGCAGACAGCAGCUACACCCAACCAUAGCACUUUAGCAGGUGAAGCUGAUGCUACCCCCGACAGAAAUGACCAUGAAUGAAAAAUUGAUCAUGAUAAAUUUCUUCCCGUAUCGCCCAGCCCUAUUGGACGGUCGUCUGGACUGGACUGAGCUGGUUUUAGAGAUUUUACACGCAUGUUCACGUCCUCCAAGCUCUCAAACGUUCCCUUCAUAUCAACCUUUAAUCGUCUCCAGAGAAACACCGCCUCCAUCAGAGUCGAGGUGGGCGUAGAUGUAUAACAGUAGAGAACAUACAGACAUCUGUUUAUGGAGGCUGGACAGUGGACCAUCUGCCUCAUACACAAACACAAUCAUGGUAACUCCUCUGCUUCUGUUCAGCUGUCACAGAUCCGCUCCAAUGACAGGAAACCUUCCCACACGUCCAGAGAGAACAAUCGAGGCGUGUUCAAACGAGAGCGGAGGAACAUCUGAGCACCUGGAAGAAAGAAGAACUUCAUGAAGAUCGACUCUGUUUGUUUGAGAAGGUCAGUUUUUAUUCAUGAAGAUCGACUUUGUUUGUUCUGGAGGAGUUAGGAGGAAAGUUUGACAUGAG